UUAUAAUUUUAUACUCACUUCACAGUUUAACGUUAACUCACAUGCAGACAUUAUAGAAUAUUAUACUAAAAACAUAAGGUGACAAAAAAUUUAUCGAGAAUCUCACUUUUAAUAAAAUACCCUUAUAGUUUCUCGAUCAAAAAAUAUUUAUCUUUUAGAUGACAAUCUUUUAAAAAGCAAAAUGCUAAAGUGGAGGUGAUGAAACAAUAGAUAUCACCAAUAAUUGUAUUGGGUUAAAUUGCUACCUAUUGCAAUUAGUGGGCGUCCUUGGGUUUGAGUAAGGAUGCAACUUGGCUGCUGAAAACUCCUGCAGACACCCAAUUACAUUUAAACACAUGUUCAAUUUGUGUUUAUACUUUUAACUCACAUGCAGACAUUAUAGAAUAUUAUACUAAAAACAUGAGGUAACAAAAAAUCUAUCGAGAAUCUCAUUUUUAAUAAAAUACCCUUAUAGUUUCUCGAUCAAAAAAUAUUUAUCUUUUAUAUGACAAUUUUUUAAAAAGCAAAAUGCUAAAGUGGAGGUGAUGAAACAAUAGAUAUCACCAAUAAUUGUAUUGGGUUAAAUUGCUAACUAUUGCAAUUAGUGGGCGUCCUUGGGUUUGAGUAAGGAUGCAACUUGGCUGCUGAAAACUCCUGCAGACACCCAAUUACAUUUAAACACAUGUUCAAUUUGUUUUUAUACUUUUAAUUAUUUAGACACAUGUUCAAAUAUAAUUGGAUAUUAACAGGAGUGGCUGUUAAACUUCCAGCAGCCAAUUAGUAUUGUUUGAGUAAUUACUUGGCCAUAUGCCAUGGAUGGUGAAGUAUGGUAAUGGUUGGUGAUUGGGUCUAUUUUAUUCUUCUAAGACCAACUCUAACCUUGGAGUAAAACCUAUAAUUUCCCUUCUAUUCCCCCCCCCAUUAAAACCUAUAAUUUCCCUUCUAUUCCCCCCCCCCCAUUCGAUUCCAACCCGAGUUCUAACCAGAAAAAAUGCCAGAUUCCGACCAGGAAAUAGCCUAAAGAAACGUGUGGGGCCCACUAGUGAGAGUGGAAAUGGGCGCUUGAACGCCAGACGCAAAGGUUGGACGCGAGCAACGCGCCAAGGGCAGGCAACGACAUGGCCCCACCCACAAGGUCAUGUUGGCCACUUGCAUCAACAUGUAACAACUACUUUUUUGAUUGAACGGCUUGAAUCAAUUGAGUUGUUGGUUGAUCCAACGGUCUACAUUCAAUUUUUUUUUUUAGUUUUAUAUUUAUAUAUUUAUUGAAUCCAACAGCUGAGAUCGAAUAUAAUCAAAUCUAACGGCAAAAAAAAUAUCUAACAACUAAAAUUGCAUAAGCGAGAUUCGGCAUGGUGCUCAUAUUGCAUAAGCGAGUUUGCAAAUUCAGCUUCUUCGUUGUUCAUUUCUGCAUCCGCAGUUGCAAGGCUUGCUUGGUAUUGUGCCGUCUGCAUUGCCAAGCUACGCCUUCUUCUAUCACCCAUUGGUGAGAUAUUGAUGAUUUUGAGGAAACAAAAACUGUAACAACCCGUCCCGAUUUUAUCGGAACAAGGGGGUAUUUUCGUGAAAUUUCACUUUGGGCUAGAUCUUCUUCUUUUAAAAUUGGUUUUUGGGUCUUAAUUGAUGAGCCCAAGGGGCCCACCCCCUAUUUUGUCCCCCGGUUCCCUUUCCAUUUUCUUUUAUUUUUCUGAAAAGUCUUUCUCUCUCUUCUCUCUUCUCCCUCACUAUCCCUUAGGGGUGGGUUCAAAAAAUCGAAAACCGAAAAAAACCGAAAACUGAACCUGACCGAGGCUGAAAAAAAUCGAACUGAAACUGUCAAACCGAACGUAUAUAUAUAUAUAUAUAUAUAUAUAUAUAUAAUUAUUUUUUUCAAUAUUUAUAAAUAGUCAUACAAUCAUAACAAAACAGAAUCCGUUGCCAAGUCGGUUUUAGUGAAACUUUUCAAGUUGGAGCGCUUGGGUUCGAAUCCUAUGCCUCCAGGAUCUUGGAGAAUUAUUUUAAUUUUGUUGAGAAAUCAACAAAACCCUUUAACCCUAGCCACUAGUAGCAGCCACACAUUUUCUAUGUUUCAUUCCCUUAUUCUCUCUCUCGUUCACUAAGACUGACUUCUCUUCAGUCUGAAACCCUAAACAGAUCGAUCGAUCCAUUCCCUUCCCUUUCCCUUAUCCCUGUCCUCUGUACUCUCACUCUGGACCAUCUCCUUCCCAGCUCCGUAGUUCUUCCGCUUUGUCUUCUUCAUGCCAAUGCCAUCUCACUCUCAGUCUCUCACCCCUGUGACCCGUGACCCGCGCGCGACCUAUGACUUCCUCUCACCAUUUCGAGUCUCGAGUCUCGACCCACAAAUUCCCUCAUUUGCAAGGUUAGUCUAUCACCUAGUUACCCCCGUAAUGCGUUUUGCAGAUUUCUUUUUUUCAAUUUCAUUGGUUCUGAUCUGUAGCUUUUCAAUUUCAUGGAUUUAUUGGUAAAGAAGUAGCAUGAAAGUUUAGAUCUUGAAAGGUUUUCAUAUUAUAUAAAUGGCAAAGAAAUAUAUUCAAAGGUCUUCCAUGUUUUUUUUUUUGGUAUUAACGGGUGAUUUUUUUCUUUUGGGGUUUGGUGUUUUUGAUGGUGUCUAAGUUGGGUUGCUGUUAAAAUCUGAGAAAUGAGAAUUACGAUGUGAUUCAGGACUAGUUUGAAGUGUGGAUUUGCGGUUACUUUGGGACGAAAAACCGCGAAAAGUAUGAGUUUCUGAUUGACUUUGCGAAUGCAGGAGCAAAUUGGAUAUAUGGAGUGUUGGGAGGAUGGUAGAAUGGAGACCUUGCAAGUUGUGGCUAUAAGGGCACCUCACUGGUACAUUCCAACUUAUUUUGCUUCCAUUGCAUUUGGCUGUGAUUGAUGGGAAUAGAAUUAGGAUUGAGGUGAGGUUACUAUAUAGUUUUUGAUAUUCGGAGUCAGUUCCCUUAAUUAACUAUCAUUGCAGACAAUUGCAUUGGUUUUCUGCAGCUCUGCCAUCAAAGAGUAAUGGAUUCAUUCGAGUGGAUUGCUAUGAGGGCCUUAAUCAGAUGAGAAGAGAUGUGAGUGAUCAAAGCAACUUUGUGAUUGCUUGUAUAUAUGCUCAAUUUUAUAUUGCCAAGUUGCUAAGCCUGAAAAUUUAUUUAUGUGGAGUGCAUUUAUGUGAUGGUGUUGGUAUUGCCCAUCUUUUAAAUGCAACCCUGGUUCUGCCAAAGUUUGAGGUGGUUCAACCAUAUUCGUGUUUUACAUAUCAUAUACCCGUGAAGUCUGGAAUAUAAAUAUGUUCUUAUAAUUAUGUUAAUGGCAUCAGAAAACUUAAUUAUAAAUAUGUUCUUAUAAUAUUGUGAGGACCAUAUGGAGUCAUUAUGGUAGCUAAUGGUUUCAUGACAAUAUAUAUAUAUAUAUAUAUAUAUAUAUAUAUAUAUAUAUAUAUGUUCUGUAUCCGUAGUCUUUGAUCCUUAUAAUAUUGUGAGGACCAUAUGGAGUCAUUAUCUGUUAUCUGUAAUCCUUAUUUUUUGAUGCUGAUAUCUUUUCAAAAGUUCAUAUAUACUCAAUAUUUUAAAGUUGUUUUUCAGUUCGGUUUAUUAUGUGCAUCCGUAGCUUUUGCAUGUGCAUCCUACCUUUGCUUAUUAUAUGUUUUGUAUCUUAAUUAGAUGAAGUCAAGUGCAUCAAAGGCCUCGAGCUCAAGCUCAAACUCAACGAGAUCAUCAAAUUUGGACUUUGUGCAUCCUACCUUGAAGGUUUAUUUGACUUGUGUGAUGUUUAUUUUAAAUUUGGACUUUGGAAGAUUUGAUUGAUGAUUCUAGUUGAACUUUAAAUGUUUAUUUUCAUUGUCUUUGAUUCUAGUUGGAAUUCUUAUGUUAUGAUUGUGUUGGAAAUGUUGAGUUUUCUUUAUAAAAUAAAUUAGAGUUACAGUGGAAUAAGAGGGAUGGCGGAGAUGGCUGAUUCGCUAUGGCUUCUGAACAAGAAGAUUGAAAGGGUGGCAUGGGUGGGUGGGGGUUGGCUGGUUGGGGAAGUUGAAAAGUUUCUGGGGUUGAGUUUAUUUAUUUAAUCAUGUUUAAAUUAGUUUUAAAAAUUAAAAAAGAUAUAUUAAUUAACAAGUUUACUAGGGUUAGAAGAUGGGACAUAUGACAACUAAUAAGGUGUAUGGUGAGUAUACACCAGUUAAUGUGGGUGAGCAAAAAUGCACCCAAACAGAAAUAGCAAAUAAAAGAAAGAAACAAUAAAAUAAAGUAUAAAAUAACAAAGAAAACAGAAAAUAAAAGAAAAGACAAGGAAACGGACACACCUGAGAUUCGAAGUGGUGACCUGGUGCAAGGAGAAUAUGCGCUAGAAAAAUAAUGAAAAAGAAAGCACCAAUUCACUGCUUUGGAGACUCGAACCCGUGGCCUGAAGGAAACGAGGAGCGCUGAUGCUAAUGCGAAGCUCCACCCGUGUAGUGUUCACGUGACAAAACCUUAACAGCUCCUAGUAUAAAUUAAGUUUUAGCAUUCCAUUUCUCCCUUGCUUUCUAGCAUUUUCACCUUGAGCCCAUAGCCGUGAGGGUUCUCUCCAUCUUGCUCUCAAACCUUAGCCUAUCUAAACUUCAAUUCUCUACCAUCAUCACAAAAUCAAAACUACGGCGGACCUCUCGAAUCAAAAAUGACCCCAACCAUCAGAUUGUACUGCCGCCAUGGAAAUGUCGACACUUCCGAGGCUCAGAAAUUCGAAAUCCCAGCAAUCAUAAAGGUAAUUGUUCUUCCCCGUAUAUCUGAUUUUCGUGAGCGUUCUUCAAAGUGUAGGUCAGAAAGAAAACAAGGAAAAAUUAUCUCAUGCAUGUGUGCUAUCUGUGCAGGAGUCCUGGAUCUGUGAAACCAGUGACGGAACCAGGAAUUGACAGGAGGAUAGGCGAAGUUAAAAGAGUGCAAGGUUCAAAAGAAUAGUAACAACCAAAUCCUUUAUAUAGUAAUGUCUUUCAUAAUUUAUCAAUACAAACAAAUUACAAUUAUUGCCGACGAGGUUUCAUAUCAUGAAAACGCCGCAUAAUAGGCUCAUUAUCAAUAAAAGCAAAUACAUCUCUCUCAAUGUAAACAAGCAUGCUAUCACUCAACUAUUGAUCUCCCAUUUUGUUACACAAUGGUGUUUUCACAAUUUUCAUAGCAGAAAAAGCUCUCUCCACCGAAGCGGUUGCAACUGGUAACAUCAAAGCCAAUGUAAGAAGCUUAUACACUAACAUAUAGCUUGCAUACCUCCCGAUCUUCACCAACUCCUUUGCAAGAUCACCAAUUCAUCUUAAUGAUGAAAACUCACUAUGCAUCUUCAUAUCGUGAAUGUAAUUGUCAAGUUGAAUUGGAAGAUUCAUGAGGUCCAUACAAUCAAAAUCUUGAGAAUAAAGUUGGGCUAGACGAACACUUUUUGCUUUGUCAAAAUAUGCAAAAUUAUUCACUGGACUCAAACAUGCCAUACAAAGAAGCAAUUCGGUGUUUACCUCAUUGAAGCUAUCAUUCAAUUCCUUUAAUUGUGUAUCAAGGACUUGAAAAUAGAGGUCCAUAUGAUAGUAAUGGAAGUUUAUGAGUCUUAGAGCUUUACGUCUUGAUUUUCCGGGUACAAAACGCAAAUCCUCCAUGUUAGGAACAACAAUAUCAUGCUCUUGACAAAACUUUUGUACAUCAUCAAGCAAGUCUCCAAAGUCAUCAUCUCUCAAGGAUUGUAGUCUUUGCUUGCAUACUUCCACUAACGCCAUCGCAUUCACAAUAUCUUGAUCUUUCUUUUGUAAUGUUUGUGAUAACUCAUUUGUAAUUUCCAAUAUGAAUCUCAUAAAAAAAAGGUGAAACACAAAAUCAAAAGUUUGUAUGUCAUGGAAUAACUUACUUACUUCACCAAAAUUGUCUUGGUUGGUAUCAUCCUUAAUCCAUUCAAGCACCACCACCACAGCUUCAAACAUGACAAUAAUACUAACUAUAAUACCAUAAUGUGAGUUCCAACGUGUAUCACAAGGAUGCAUGAGACUAAUCUCUUGAUUUAACCCUCUACCCGUUUCAAGAUCACCAAUAUCAAGAGCUUUCUUAAUUUGUUCUAGUUGUUUCUCUCUAAAUGCAUCACGACGCUUACACGAUGAUCCAAUAAUAUUGACCAAAAUACUAGCAUUGUUGAAGAAAAUGGCGACACCCUCAAUUCCCUUUGCAACGGCUACAAGAGCUAGUUGAAGUUGGUGUGCAAAACAAUGAACAUAAAAUGCUUGAGGAUACUUGUUCAAAAUAUUUGCUUUAAGGCCAUUUUGUUCUCCUUUCAUAUUACUAGCUCCAUCAUAGCCCUGUUCCCGUAACUUAGACAUACUCAAAUUUGUUGAAGCAAAUAAUCUCUCAAUGGUCUCUUCAAGCAAGCUACUAGUUGUAGAGGAGACAUGUUGCACACCCAAAAACCUUUUAAUUACUUUUCGUUCCUUGUUCACAUAACGCAAUACCACCGCCAUUUUCUCUUUAGUUGAAGAAUCACAUGAUCUAUCAACCAAAAGAAAAAAAAAUGUACCUUCUAUAUCUUUAGUAAUUGCACCAAUAGUUUCAAUGGCACAUGCACGGACAAGAUCUUUUUGAAUAUCGGAAGAAGUAUACUUGAGAUUCUUGAACAUGUGUGCGCGAAGCACCAGCGAAUCGACACUCGAGAGAUUGCCAGAGAGAUCGAGAAUCCUCCAUACCAACCGUCAAAGGUAGCAAAUCUUCAGACAUAGUAGAAUUAAUCCAAAUCAUCAAGAUUUGAUCUCGCUUACACUAGAUUUCAUAAGCAACGUUGAGAACUCGAGAUCCGGCUGAAUCAAGAAAAAAUUGAGGAGGACAUAGAUCUUUGCCAUUUACAAGCCCUAACAGCUUGAAUUUCUUCAAAACAGGAAGAAAGAGGCUGCUCCAGGUGAUAAAAUUGUGACUGUUGAGCUUCAUUUGUACCAUGCCCACAAUAUUCUGAACAGUAAUCGAUCCGAGAGAAACAAUCAAAGGAUUGGGGACCUCAUUGUGAUGAGUAUUACCAGAAGAAUUUCCUGGAGAAGAGGAAUUAGGAGAAUUCAGAGUUGUCGUCAUGAGAGGAAUCAAACUUAUUGCAGCAGAAAUUGAAGAAUUGGAGAAGCAGAGAUCUGUUUGGGAUACGAGAAAAUGUGAGAAAAUACAAGAAAGUAUGAGAAAGGGGAAGCGUAGGAUUGACGCGUCGUUAGACAUCAGCGAGGGAUAUCAUGAUAGAAAGUGAAAAAAACUGAAUCUUUCAUUUUAAUGAAUCAGAAUCAUACAUCGAGAGAGUAUUUAUACAUACACCAAAUGAAUGCUGACUCAGCACUUUAACUUAGCAACAACUAGCAACAGCUGGUGUUGAGCAAAAAUUGUACAUAAUAUGUAAACAAAUAAUUCACUCGACACAAUUUCACCCUCGUUCAUUUUUCUGAAGAGGGUUUUAUUAAUUUGAGUUCGACCCAUUCUAGGCUAUGCGCCUAUUAAUUACAACCCUUCUUUUAGGAAAGGAAUACCCUUUGAUUCUAAUUCGAAUAAAAAUGUAACUUGAGGAUUUUGGUGUUUGUUUGAUUUUGUGACUGCACCUAGGUCGAAUCCUAGAUUGCCUACGUACCCUCUUGAGGGAUCAAGUCGCUCGUAGUUCAGGUAUUUGGUACUUGUUUGGAUUUGAUGCCUUGUGCAGUUUUAGCUCAUGCGGGCGAGGAGCAUAGAAAAUUUGAUAUGGCUUCAUGCCAUUUGAGACUUUUCUUUGGCUUCGUGCCACUCGGGAUUUGAUACGGCUUUGUGCCAUUUGAAACUUUCUUCGGCUUCGUGCCAUUUUGGUAUUUGACGGCAGGAGUGAAUUUAGUUUAUAUAAACCAGGGAUUCGUUUCGGUUUCACGGUUGUGUCUAAAACUUGAUAUCAGACUGCCUACGUAUCCUUAACGGAAUCAAACCGGCGUAGUUCAUAAAAAAUAUUUGAUUUGGAUUUGUGUUCAGACUUUGGCAAAAGAAAAGUGCCCAAAAGAUGAUGACUGGCAACAAAACAAAACAAAAACAAAAAAUGAAUUGAUGGUUUUUUGCCAAGUAUGACCCAUGCCUUUUCCUUUAAUAAUCAAAUCUUAGUGUAUUUAGGGUGAGUCCAUACUUCCCACGUGAUGAGCAACCUUUCUUUCUUUUACUUGCCUUCAUUUACUUUGUCUUGAACCAUUCCAUCUUGUCUUCAUGCCUGACACUAACUGGGCAGUAUAGUAGCAAAGCAAAUCUUUGCUUUAUUGUUUAAUAAAAGCAAGUGGUAAAGUACCAUUUUUUAUAAAUGCCUUUUUAGGUUUUAGGUCCCCUGCUUUUUCAUGCUUUGAUUUUUUAUCCCUGCCGUGCCUCUCCUUGAUGGUUUUGAGGAUUUAGCAUCCUCAUCCCCCGGUAAGAUGGCUUCAGCGAUCCACUUUCCCUUGGCUUUGAAAUCUGGUGGUUUUCCUUUAGAAGCAAGCGACUAUUCCACUAUAUUUGGACUUCCGUGGACUUCGUUGCAUUUCAAACUUCUAUUUGGAUUGGGUAUCCAUGGAUUUCAGAGUAGGAAUGGGUAAGGUUUGUUGGAGUUUAAAUUUUUUGUUCCAAUUACUUCAAUUUUCCGUCAUUUCUCUUUAAACCGCAAAGUCCCACUUUACGCAGGACACAAGAGUUCUCAUCUUCCUGCUGCCCUAUUCUUUUGCUUGUGUGCUUCCUCUGCGGAUCGAAAACUCAAAACAAAGAGGGGGAAGAAAUCGAGCAGGUUACCCAUUUUUGUUUUCUUUAUGUUCUGGGUUUGUUUAUGUAUUUGGAGUGAAGUGAAACUCUAGCUGCAAUGAACUUUAUCAAUUAUUUCGUGCAGGAGUCCCAGGAAACGACAUCUCUUCGAUUGGUUGUUGGACAAAACCAUUUUGCAGCCCCGAGUUAGUUGAAGACAAUUGUUGAUUUAUGGCUCCGAAUGUGAGAGUUUGUACUCUGAAAUUUGUAGUAACGUACUCAUAAUAUCUGCCAUAUUUUGAAUGAGUUUUGACGUACUCAUGUGUGAUUAUCACUCUGGUAUUUCUGUUUCCACAAAGAGAUUUUACUUGACUGGCUUUGACAGUAGCAUUUGGACACCCUUUUUUGUGUUCCCAUUUAUGUUUUGUCUUCGAUGCUUGCCAUUUUUUUUUCAACUUGAGACAGCCUGAACCUUUUUUUUAAUCCAACUUUUCCGUGGUAGAGAAGCAAAUUUCUUUUAGCUAUCUAUUUAAAGAUUGUGAAAUUUCCUUUCUUUCCUUGUCUUUAUCAAUGGUUGAAUUGGGGACUUUCUUUUGUGGACUUUAGACCAAACAUGAGUCGGUCAAGGGGAGUUUAGGCUUUCUUUUCCUUUGCAAACCAUCUUUUCCAUUUUUCCUUUUUCUUGGACUCUAUCCCCAAUAAGUUUUCAUAGGAUUUUUAGCCAAAGGCAUGCUCCAUAUCUUGUACCCGUGAGCAGCAAAGAAAACACCAAACACGAUAAUUUCUUUCCUCUCGAGUUUCAUCUUGGUAAAUGUUGCUUCCUUGCUACUUUUCUUCAUAGAGACCAAAUAUGAGUUAGUCAAGGGGAGCAAAAGUUGCAUUUUGCUUCUUUUCCCUUGUUUAUUUGUCCACAAAUGCAUCUGUUUUCUCAUUGACCGCAAAGAAUGAGUUUCGUCUGGCUUUAUGCAACACGGCAUUUGCCAAACCCAUCUACUUCAAGUCGCAUAAUGUACGGACGGCAGGUAUGGGUUACUUAGACUUUGAUUGGAACUUCACGGGGUGGUCUAGGCCACCCCGAAGAAAUUCAUGGGAUUUUUGGAGAUCAUUUCUGCUGCAGUUAGUGGUUCAGAAUCUCCACCUCCAUAUGUUUGGUGCAGAAAAAAUACCAAACAACGAAACAAAGGACACAAAAAAAAAACUAAAAGAAAUAUUAGAACAUUUGAUUUGUCCUUCUCUGUUUUUUUUUCUCCUUGCGUUGUGGACCAUUGUCAAAUGAAGGGGAAUGUCAUGGACCAUUGCCUGGUGGUCUUCGGCUGCCAUUUUUUUGUGUUUCUUCUUUCGCGUCCUUCUCUGUUUCUUGUAUAUAUGUAUAACAUAACAAAAAUCAAGAGAAAAAUAAAUUUAACAGGGCUUUGUUUUUAGGGAACUUUAACGAAAAGCACCCGGUACUGUUCACUUUAACGAAAAACCACAUUUUUACACUAAAAAGUCAAUCCUAGUACUAUUCAUUUUACCCUUUAUUUUGUCCUUAUCAUUAAAACUCAAAGUUUUCAAGCCAUUUUCAUUAGUUUUCCUUUGUUUUUAUACCUGGUGAUGAAUAUUCUUCUUUGGUUCUUGACUUCGAAAGCACGAAAGAUUGAAUUCCUUCUCUUUUCUGGCAGCACUUCGUUGCUUUUGGUAUUCUCUCAAAGUUUCUCUAUUUUCUGCAGAGUUUCCCCUUCCUUUUUUCUGUCUUUUUUCCUUUUACUUGCUGCAGGUGAUGCUUAUUUAUAGGCAUCCUAGGAAAGCUCUAGAAUUUGCUACGUGGGGGAAGUUGGAGGCCAUGAUCUCCUGCCACUUUUACUUAACCUCUCCCCACUAACUUGUGCAGUUUUUUUUCACACCCUGCAGAGAAGGAGGUUUCUGUGUUGCACGUUUUCUUCCCCCUUUUGUAGGAAGAAAUUCAUAUUUUAUUUUUUUUAUUUGUUUAUUUCUGGAUGUUGUUUUGUAUGUAAUGCUCAUCCUCAUCUUUUGUAUGUAAGGCCCAUCCUCAUCUUUUGGGUUGGAUUGCAUUUUGUUUUUUUUUCGGCCUUGUAGUUUGGCCCAAUUUACAUGGACUCUAUUUUUUAUAUGUCAUGUAUUUUUAUUGUUCAACAGCUGGUCAUAAAACUAACUCUAACUAUACUAACUAGCUACCAGUAGUAAUAUGUAGGUGAUGUUCAUGAUUAGUUUGUGAACCUGCAGUACUUCUAUCACUAUUUAUAUGCUAGAGUUGGGGAGACAUAGUAAUUGGAGAAUUGCAAUCCAUUUUAUAUGGAAGGGUAGUCUCCAUGCAGCCACUCUAACUAAACACUUUACUAAUGUUCUUCAACUGUUACUAUAUUUUUGUGAUAUAUUUUUCUAUGUCUUUUAUAUUUGUUUACCUUAUUUAUAAAACGAUUAAGGUUUUACAAAUUUUUGGGACGAAAUUUAUUUUAAGGGGGGUUGAUUGUAAUACUCCAUAUUUUAAAAACAAACUACACACACACACAUGUAGGGCUGGGUUCAGUUUGAAACGGUUCGAUUUUUUGCCAAAACCGAAACCAAACCGAAAUUUUGGUUCGGUUCAAUUUUUUUUCGAUUUUAGUUUUUUUUUGUUCGGUUUCGGCCCAGUUCGAUUUUUUGGUAAAUCUGGAUAUUGGUACUGAUCAAACCACUAUCUUCAUCUACAAAUCAACAACAAUUACAUUCAUUUAGGGUUUGCAGGAUUUGUGGGCUGGUAUUGAUGCAGCAAAAUAUAGAGAGGGAAAAGCUAAUUUUUUUUGUCAGAACAUGAAUCUUUUAUCCAACACAAUAAAAAUAAAAUAAAAAACUUGGAUUGAAUCAGAUGGAAAGAAACAAACACAGAUACAUAAUCUACAUCCCCACGCAUGAUCUACAACCCAUACUUUCUUUGCUCUAUGUCCGUCUAUUGAAUCUAAAACCAAGACAUAAUCUGCAGCAUACACCUCUAUUCAUCUCCACCCAUUUUUUUUCUCCAUAACUAAAAUGAAACUCUAUCACAUCUUCACGGAUAGCACAAAAUCUAAAUAUUGAAUCUCAUACACUAACUGCAAAUCAAUAACCCAAAUCCCUAAGUCUAGAAAACCCUAAGUUACUCUUCCUAAAUCCCUAAAAUUGAAUACCUUUUGAUUGAGAGAGAAGAGGGGAUGUUGCAGGGUCAGCAUGCUCGCAGCCAUGGGGAUGGGUGCUGGAGCUAGAGGGAUGACUGAGAGAGAAGAGGGGACGAGAUAGAGAAAAUGGAGAAAUUGGAUGCAUGGACAUGGAGGGUCUCACAAAUAUGAAGCUUGGAAUAGAAAGGAGGAUGCGGGUUACGGAGAAGAAUGGAGAAAUGGACAUGGAGGAAGUCUGGAGGCAGGGAACGAUAGAGAGAGAAGAGGGGAAUGAAAAAUAGAAAAAGUGUGGCUGCGCUAGGGUUUUGUUGAUUUGGUCAUAAAAAUUAAAAAAGAAUCUCCAAAAUCCGGGAGGCAUGAGGAGGGUUCAAACCCAUGCGCUCCACCAGCUUGGAAAGUUUCACUGAAACCAACUUCACAACAGGUUCUGUUUAAUUAUAAUUGUAUGACUAAACUAUUUAUAAACAUUGAAAAAAAUAAUUAUAUAUAUAUAUAUAUAUAUAUAUAUAUCGGUUUGGUUCAGUUCGGUUCGGUUUUCGAACCUCAAAAACCGAAACCGAACUGGCCAGAUUUGAUUAAGUUCGGUUUGAAAGUUUCGGUUUGAUUUUUUUCGGCCUCGUUCGGUUUGGUUUUCGAUUUUUUUCGGUUUUUGGUUUUUUGAACCCACCCCUACACACGUGUAUGUGGUAAUUAUUUUUAUUUCAAGUAUAAAUUCUUUUCUUUGGGUUUCUUUAUUACACUAUGUUUAUAUAAGAACUCAUACUUUUGAUAUAUAAACUAGUCUCAACGCAAGAUCUUUUUCUACAAAAUUAUUACAAAACUAGUUAGUAUUAUUUCAUAUUUAAUUAGAGAUAUUUUUAGUUUGAAUUGGACAGCUAAGAUUAAGGUUGGAUUACAUGACUAGAAUUUAUAAGACAUAGGCCCAAAGUCUUCCAUAACCUUAGUUUCACGUAGGCCCAAUAAACUUUCUUAGCCAUCCACACUACGAUCCACUUGGCAAGCCCCUACGUGUGGCUUGGGCUCAUUUUAGCACAUAACGUGGUUGGCACAAUUUGUCUAUGAUGUGAACGUCAUAACAUGACUUUGGCAUGAUAAAUUUGCAUGGAUUUGCAUAGACUUGGCGUGAUUAUACAAACGUUCAAGUUAUAAAUUAAUAUUUUAUUAGCAUGAGUUUCGUAUUCCUAGUCAUACCAAAACAAGGAAAGUAAAUUCCCUGUGUAAAUCCAAACAGGAAUAGAGAGAAGGGAUAAAUAAAAAGAUGAUAAACACAAAAUCUUUUAACAAUUUAUAUACACUUAUUUAAUUUGUAAUGUUAUUUUUAUUUAUUUAAUCUGAAGAUUAAAAUGAAAGAGAAACACACUCUUUCAACGUAUCACAAUCACAUACUCCUAUUUAAUUUAAUUUUUUUUUACUUAAUUGUUCAACUUGAAAACUGAAAAAAAAAAAAUUGUGCGGGAGGCCUCCAAAAAAAACUAAGAAUAAAAGCAUGUGGGUUACCCUUUAUUUGGUGAAUGAGGUUUCUGCAAAGUGAAAAAGAGUUUAGGGCUAUAUCUAGAGACUAGAUCGAUCGACGAACUACUGCCCUUUACAGCUUCUCACAAAACAUUACGAAUACGUUACUCGUAAAAGAAAUACAUUGACGACGUUUCUGUUCUGUUAAUUGCUUAGUUUCAGAAUUCAUUCAUUCUAGGGUAGGGUAGGGUUUUGCUGUCAAAGCUGGUGGCGGUGGCGGUGGCGGCGGGGUAGUCGUCGUCGUCAAUGGUUUCCUCUCCGGCUCCGGCAGAGGCUGCCGUUGACCUGAAUCUGAGUGUUAAUCUUAACGAUUCAGAUUCAAAUUCAGUUUCAGAUUCAGGAGUUAUGAGGAGGAGCAAUUUAUUAUCAUUAUUAUGUUGGUGCGAGGAUGCAUUGUUUAAUGUUUUGUGUAGAUUAUCACAAAGGGAUUUGGUAAAGUGCAAGAUGGUGUCCAAGUCCUGGCAAUGGCACCGAAUAAUCUCCCGUGUGUGGCUGCAGAUGUUUUGGCCGCGGUCUCCUACCUUGGGUCUUUUCUACCGUACGAUCCACUCUUGCGACGGUAUGUAUCAGUUACUCUCCUUGGUCUAUUUAUAUGAUUAUCCCUUCUUCAAGUCCCCCGAAUCGUCGUUACCGCAUGUGGAUUGGGGCGGUAAACUGUGUCGGUGGCAGAGACGUGACUUCUCUGACAAUCUCAGGGACUCUUGUAAUGGGUUACUUCUGUUGUUCAACCCAACAACUUACCAGUUUUGUGUGAGCAACCCCAUCACUAAGCAACACGCCUCCAUCCCUCUUCCUGUAGUGGAAGCCGAGGAGGCCGAUUUCUGUGCUGCCUUGGCUUAUGACCCUGUCGAGUCAGAUCACUACAGAGUUGUUCGAAUUGAUUAUUUCCAUUCCCAGCAACAACCAACCUCCAUAACCACAACCACCCCAAUGGACAUUUUCUCGUCGCAUUCUAGACAGUGGGUUCGACAUGGGUUGCGACUUGACCCCGCUUUUGUUGAGGGCUUCAAAAGGUUCAAACUUUGCAGGAAAUUUUUCUACUUGCGUGGGGUGUUAUACAGCUUAGCUACCUCAGGGAAACUUUUGUGUAUUGAUCUCAAUACUGUCGAAGCUCGUGCCUUUCAACUCCCUCCUCGUCCUGUCCUUGAGGAGGAGGACCAUGACGAUGAUGAUAAAACAAUGGUGGGAUGUCUUCUUGGGGUGUCAAUGGACCUUGUCUGUUAUGUAAACCGUGAUGCUUCAGAUAAUUUUUAUUUUUGGUCUUAUGAUGAUCGACCAGGAUGUGAAUCUGGUGAUAGAUGGACUCUCAGAUAUAGUGUGUGUGGCAUGGCGUUAAGAAUGAAAGUGCUUUUCGCUUCGGAUGGCAAGUACAAUCAACGUCAUGAUACUCUGGUACCGUUUGCAAUAAGUCCAAAUUCUCAUGUGCUGUUCUUUGGCACUCGAAAGCUGAUCUUUCGCUAUGACUUAGAAAGUAGAAGAAAGCUGAAACUGCUUCAAGAGACACGGUUGAACAUAGCUGUACCGGGAUAUCACUUUCCUUGCUUCACGCUCCGUGCUUGCUUGAUGCCUUUCUAUGGUCUGGAUCAUGCUCAGAAGAGUGUUGGCUCUCCAUUUCCAGCAGCACAAGAAGUUUCCAAGGGAGCAAAGAUUUUGAGUGAGGAAAUAGCUUGCCAGUGUGAUACAGAAAAAGACUCCUGGAUUGGGCAUGUGGACUCUUACUUUGUAUAUAAAGACAGAAGACCCUUUUUGUAUCCUAGCGAAAUGCAGUUAUGUGCGGGGAUGGAGGAGAUGGAAUUACCCAAACCACAACAACAGGUUCGUAGCUUCCUUCUCUAGACUCAAUUAUCACCGCCAGUGCAAAGACCUGAGUCCGUAUCAACCUAGACAGCGUUUGCUGCCACGAGUUAUGCAUAGAUGACUGAUAUGAUAAUCUCUUUAUUUUUUUUUAUUGACUAUAUAGCAUAUAAUAAUUUGGAUCUAGAUACUCUUGAUUAUGGGUCUAAUAACAAUAAUCAACUAAAUUCAAGCAGCUGCAUGCAUAUCUUCAGUACAUCAAAUGCUGAGAAAAAAGUUGUACAAAUUUAUUAAAAAUCAGUUAGAUGCGAAAACGUAUUAAGUGAUGAAGAACCCGGUGAAAAGAAAAAGACAUGAGAUAUAUGUUGCUAGAAUUUCAAGAAAUUAAUUAAAUUAGUAUACAAUAUAUACUAUAUCCAAUUGAAGAAAGCAAUAUUAAUUCUAGUGCAGCCAAAUGCUCAAAGAUAAGAUACAGAUACAAGAGAGGAGGAGGAGAAGAGCAACAACGAUUAAUACGUUACGGCACGCUAGCAAGCAUUGAGAAUUGACCCUAAUUAUAUUAUCAGAAUGUUGACUUAAUAAGACUAUCAUCAAUGGUUUUCACAAACAUUAAUUUCACAGCCUCCUCGAUCUGAUGUGGUGUAACUUAAUUUCACAAACAUUAAUGCAGCAUUGUCCAACAGCAACUGAAUUCACAGUUUCCAAUUUGUCGUCCAGGUCGUUGUUCAUUGAGAAAGACUGAUGACUGAUGACAACACAACAUUGACAGUGGAAAUGCCACUUAGUACUACGGUGUAAUGGUAUUCCUCUUCAUUUGUAAGUCAGAGGUCUCUUAGGUUCGAAUCUCGCCAAAUGCGAGUUUGAACCGCAUUAUUGCUAGCCCAUUGUGAGGCUAAGCCCACCUCCUUCCCCUUAGUUUAGAUAAUAUCGUUUGUUCAAAAAAAAAAAAAAAAGACAGUGGAGAUAGCCUAAGACUAAAAAUUAGCUCAAGAACUAUAUAGCUAGAAACCUAGAAGUGAUGUAAUUAUAAAAGUACUAACCUCUUUCUCUUGCUCAAAAAUUCUCCCUCGCACUCUUCUUUUUCUUCUUCUCCACUUGCUUUGUGUUGGGGAUAUUUUGAUCGAGUUGGAUUUGGGCUUCAGUGGAAACUCCCAAUUCCCCUAGUUUGUGUCCAAUAUCAAGUCUCGAGAUACCUCGAAAGAAUUAACGUGUCUUAAAAAGUAUCUCAGUUGAAUUAAUGGCUAAAGAAUGAAUGCUUAAGACAAAUUAUGGCUCGCUUAAGCGCGGUUGUGAAUUGGAAGUUAAAAGCUUAUUAGUUUAGCACCAUCGUCGGCCUUGGCUAGUCACACUAAGCAGUGAAAGCCGGGGCACGGAGGACAACGACGACGUUGUGACUAAGAUCAUACAUACUAUUAAGGCGCUCACCGUCCAAGAGAACUGCUCCGUUCUAGCCAACGUGUCCAUCACCAAACCCUUGACUGUGGAGUUGACAAAGUGUGAGAUGAUGAGCAAGGGGUGUUUUGUGGGGAACCCUGUAUGAAAGGCAGCAAAAGUUAUGGGAUGGCACAAACAUAAAGUUGAGUGUGAAGUAUUCUGUUAGUGGAACGGUGGAAGUGAUGAGUGGUGGAUUCAAAAGGAUGUAAAAGUAAAAGGAAGGGUUCAAAAAUAAGGAAAAAAAAAAACUAUAACAGCUUGCUUGAUGAAAAAAGAGAGAAUGAUGGUAAGAUAUAUAAUCUUAUCAUCAACUCUCAUCAAUCUCCCUUACUAUUAUUUAUAUAAUUUAUUUGUGUGUUUCAUUUUUUUGGUUUGUUUAUAAAAUUAUCAUAUAGCAAUAUAGCAUGUGAUUCUUGAAGUCAAUGUUGCAUAUUACAUAUAUAUGCAUAAAGCAAGAAAAACAGUGUUGUGCUAUAUCAAUUGCUCAGUUGUGUAAAAUGUGAGAGUUGUGAAGAUAUUCAAGGGUUGGAAAAAGCCUUGGAUAUAUAUUCUGAAACCUUGAAUAUGUCAUGCAUCGGAGGAAGGGCACAAAUAUACAAUUGGGCUUCGGGCGAAAUGUCUAUAUAAUAAAGUGGAAAUUAAGAAUUUAAAUCACAAAAGUUGAUCUUAAGAAAUGAACGGGAGUUAACUCUUAUUCUAAGGUAUUCAGAGCCAAGUGGUAUAAGUAUGGUAUGGAACGUGCUGGCUUGGGUGCCUUAGGCAUGUGUUAGUGGGAUUAGAAGGGAGUGACAUUCAUGCAUUUCAUUUGCAUAUAUUUUAUGUGUUUGCAAGACUUGCUACAUUUUAAUUAUUAUUUGGUAGAUACCUAUUUCCAUAGUGAACUAAUUUGUAAACUAAUAAUUAGUGUUUUUAUUCUGAUGCAUAUUCGAUAAAUUUUAUGUAGUAAAUUCAAGUAUAUAUUAUGUAAACAUUAUUAGCGAGUGCUUUACAUUGUAGCGUGUAUUAGUUACAAAUAAGAUUUAUUUUAAUUUUUUCCCCUUCAUGUCUUGGUUAUAGAACUUACUAGCAACGGUGCCCGCGCGAUGCCGUGGGUUUUUAAAUAGCAUACAACAUGUAGAAAGUUAUAUUUGCAAUUUUGCUUAACUCAAUCUAUUUACAACUCUGCCUAACUCAAGGAAUAGAUAAAAGUUUGUUUCUUACCGAAAUAUAUGAAUUUGAAUUUUAGCAGUGACACACAUAGAAAAAACUUAACAGUUCUAUGAAUUGUAUACAGAGAAAUAGGUCACAACAUUUAUGGUUCAAGUUUUGAACAAAGAAUUAGUUUAUCAGCAAGGAUUGGAUACAGAGAAAUGUAAAUAUUGUUUUCAAUGCAUUAUUAUAAUGAGAAACAUAACAGUUCUAUAAUUGUAAGGGAGGAAAUAUGAUGAAAGACAUACGAAGAUUUGAUGGUCAUAUGUUGAGAAAAAUCCACAUUGCUGAUUGACGUAUUGUUUGUUCAAUAGAUCAACGCUCGAAACUGCAACAAAAAUAAAAGAAUCAAUUUAUGAGCAGUUGGAAGAAUCAUUAUCCGUAAAAAAAUUGUUGAUUCAAAUAUAAACGAAUGAAACUGACUGUAAAAGAAAGGUAUACCGAAUGUUGCUCCAAACUAAGUUCAAAAUGAGUGUAGUUGUGGAAAUUCUGUGCAACACUCUGUUGAGAGAUGUAAAAAGUAGAUCACACAAUAUUUACAUCACCGUAAACAAAGAUGUUGGAAGUGGUUUAUACAUAAAAUAUUAAAUUUGUACAAUCCAGAUACAAAGGAUUAAAACCUGUUUCCUUACAUAUAGACAAAAAAUAAUACAGUGAUUGAUUGGAUUCUACCACUUGCAUCUACCUCUCAAGUGGAACCAGCAUUUACAUACAAAAAAUUAAUGAAUGCUGGUUUAUGUACAUGCAAAAAAUAUUAUGAAGUCCAGACCAGAGACAUUUACAUGGCAGGCAAAUAUUAGCAAUAUUGUUUGAUACAUAUUGACAAAAAACGGUUAAUGCGUUUCAGUAUCGGAGAUAGAGUUUUGCCACUGCAUCGUUCAUCCUUAAGCAAGCAAGCUAGGAAAAAGAGAGAAAAUAAUACAGUUAGAUGGAUAUUAAAUAUAUAUCAAAAUAACUGUAGAGGAAAAAAGGAAGCCAUGUUUAAAAUAUAGCAACCUAGCAGGUUUUUUCAGGAGUGGUAUCAGAUUUUCCGCUAGUUGGUGACGAUUUCUUUUUGAGGAACUUGAUUGGAACUUGUUAGCAGAGACUCCUCCACGUCUUCCUCUCGUCAUAGUUAGCAUGAUUAUCUCCUAUCUUAUCUUGGAGUUUUGUAAUCCCAACAGAACUUGUAUUACGAGUUAACCAGUCCCAUUAGGACUCUCUGUAAACCUUACAGACUUUGUGUAUUUAUACUCAGUGAUUACUAAUGAAAAGUACAACUUCCAUUAAUAUUAUAGUCUUACAGUUUUUAUAUUUCUACAUGGUAUCAUCCCUUUCCCCGGUUUAACCACCCUUUUCGAUCCUGCUUCCCAUCAUGUCCUUUACCUCCCCGCUUCCUGGCCCUGCUAUUGCCCAAUUUCUUAAACUUAAUGACUCCAAUUACCUAACCUGGCUUCGUCAGAUCAAGCCCUUUCUUGUGGGUCAUGAUCUGUGGAAGUUUGUUGAUGGCUCCCACCCACCUCCACCGACCACCCUCACCGUUACUCUCACCCCUUCUUCUGCCGCUUCUGACUCAGAUAGUUCUUCCGUGAUUACUACCUCCAUCAUUCCCAACCCCGCUUUCGCCCAAUGGUACCAACACGAUCAGUUAGUCGUCAGCUAUAUCACCGCCACCUUGACAGAACCUGUCCUUGCUCUUACUGUAGGCCAUGACUCUGCUCAAGCCGUAUGGGCUUGUCUUCAACGGCGCUUCGCCCACGGUUCUGUUCUCAACUCCGCUGCCCUGCGUUACCAACUGCUUGAUCUUUCCAAAGGAUCUCGCCCUAUUGCUGACUAUCUUCAGCAUGCUAAAUCUCUUGCUGACAAACUUGCUGCUAUCGGUCGUCCCGUUGAUCCUGAAGACUUCAUCACCGCUGUUCUUCGUGGCCUUGGAUCUGACUACCUUACCCUUACCACUGCUAUCAUCAAUGUCACCCCUCUUCCUACCUUUGAGGAAUUGACCUCCAAAAUUGAAGCUUUUGACCUUCAAACUCUGCGCAUCUCCCCCGCUCCCGCUGCUUCUCAAACUGCUCUCAUCACCACCCACCAACCCCGUGCUCCAUCUCAGUCAUCUGGCCCUCGCACUGGAAACUGGAAUGGUCGUUCCCAGCGUCACUCCGGCGGCCAGCAGCGUUCUUCUUCUAACUGGCGUUCUGGCAGAAACCAAAUUUCCCGUAACCACCAAAAUUGGAAUGGGCCUCCUCCUCCUACCUCUCAGCAACCAUGGUUCGGCGCACCUGCUCCGACUCACUGGCCUGGCCCGCGUGGUUUCCCUGGUCGCCCCACUUCUGGUUUGUUGGGUCCCGGCCCUUGGUGCCCAACUUGCUCCACUUCACAGCAUAGUGCUACUCAGUGCCCACAUCGUUAUGGCGGCCCCGACUCCUUCCCUCCCUUUGCGGGCUCUCAGGUGGUCCACUAUCCGGAUCCCACCACUUGGUUUCCUGACACCGGCGCUACCCAUCACAUGACGGGCGAUCCCAAUGCUCUCUCUCACCCCCAGCCUUAUCGUGGUCCUACUUCCGUUCAGUUGGGUAAUGGUGAUUCUCUAAACAUUACAUCCACUGGUACAAUUCCUAUUUCUCUCAACUCUAUUCCGUUUAGUCUUCGCAAUGUUUUUCUUGUUCCGUCUUUACGUAAGAAUCUCUUUUCUGUUGCACGUUUUACCCAUGAUAACAACAUCGUCCUUUGCUUCUUUCCUUCUUUUUACCGCAUUUAUGACUUACACACUGGUUCCUUAUUAUUUCAGGGCCCCUGUAGAGAUGACCUUUAUCCUUUGUCGCUCUCAUCACCCCAAGCCCUUGCUGCGUCAUCCUCCAACCUCUGGCACCAACGUCUCGGUCACCCUUCGUCCUCUGUUUUGUCUCGUCUCAGCUCUAGUCUAGGUUCUAAGUCUUUUUCUUCCCAUCUUUUUUGUAAAAGUUGUGCUUUAGGCAAGUCUACACAACUUCCUUUUCAAUUGAAUAAUGCAAGGGCUACUACCCCAUUUUUUAUAGUAAAUUCUGAUGUUUGGAUGUCCACUACUACUUCUAUUUCUGGUUUUCGUUAUUACGUAUUGUUCACUGAUGAUUACUCUCGCUAUUCAUGGAUUUAUCCCAUGAGACAGAAAUCUGAGGUCUUCACCCAUUUCCAAACUUUUGUUGCUAUGGCCAAAAAUCUUUUCAACGUCUCCAUUAAAUAUUUUCAAAGUGAUGGAGGCACUGAAUAUGUCAACCACUCCUUUACAGCAUUCCUUCGUCAUCUCGGUAUCCAACACCGUAUUUCCUGUCCCCACACACCCCAGCAAAAUGGCCUCGCUGAGCGUAAGCAUCGUCAUAUUGCUGAUAUGACCCGCACCUUGCUUACCGCAGCUCAUGCCCCACUCACCUUGUGGGUUGAAGCUGCGCUCACGUCCGUUCAUCUCAUCAACCUUCUCCCCACCUCUACCCUCAACUGGUCUACCCCCCACACACUUCUUUUUGGUCGGCCCCCUGUGUACUCCCACUUACGUACCUUUGGAUGUAUGUGUUUUCCAUAUCUUCGGAAUUAUGUUCCCGACAAACUAAUGCCUCGCUCUCUUGAGUGUGUUUUUGUGGGUUACAGUGCUUCUCAUAAAGGUUACAGGUGCCUUGAUCGUGCCACUGGCCGUGUCUAUAUCUCUCGCCAUGUUGUUUUCAACGAAGCAGUCUUUCCCUUCGCCACUGCUCUCGGCCACCAACCACCUGCCUAUGUGGAGCUCACUCUUUGCCCUAUUGUCCCCUCCCCUCCUGUUAGCCCACUGCCCUCCGUGGGCCCUUCCUCAACGCCAAAUGACACUGGGCUUCUGCCCUCCUCCACCGAUGGCCCACCUUCUCCUCAUGCUUCUCCACCGCAACCCGUGCCUCCACCACGCAUCCAACAACAUGUGCUUCCCUCCCAUCCCAUGCUCACGCGGUCCAAAGCCGGCAUGCGCAAACCUAAGACCUGGACUGAUGGUUCAAUUCGGUAUCCUCUCCCUCAUGCUCUUUCCGUUUCGCUUACCACUGAUGAACCUACAUGUUUUACACAGGCUAAUCGAAAACCUGAAUGGCGGGCUGCCAUGACCGAGGAGAUUAAUGCUCUUCUUAAGAACAACACUUGGGUCCUUGUUCCCCCUUCGUCCCAUCAAAACAAAGUGGGCUGCAAGUGGGUUUAUCGCAUUAAAAGGAAUUCUGAUGGUAGUAUUGACAGAUAUAAAGCUUGUUUGGUGGCCAAGGGAUUUCACCAACAACCAGGAAUUGACUAUGCUGAAACUUUCAGUCCGGUCGUCAAACCUGCAACUAUCCGCACAGUUUUUAGCCUUGCCGUUUCGAAUAAUUGGCCCCUUCAUCAACUUGAUGUCAAGAAUGCCUUUCUACAUGGUCACUUGCAAGAGGAGGUGUAUAUGUCACAACCACCAGGCUUCAUUGAUCCCCACCAUCCCCAUCAUGUUUGUCGUCUCACUAAGGCCCUCUAUGGUCUUAAGCAGGCACCCCGGGCCUGGUUUCAUCGGUUUAGCUCCUAUUUGUUGCGCUAUGGAUUUUUCCAAAGUAAAGCUGACACCUCUCUCUUUAUAUAUAACCGUGGCUCCUCUUGUAUGUGGCUCCUUCUAUAUGUCGACGACAUUGUCCUAACUGGCAACGCCUCCUCCCUCCUGCACCACUUUAUCACGGCAUUAGGUCAUGAGUUUGAGUUAAAGGAUCUCGGACCUCUUCACUACUUCCUAGGGCUUCAAGUCAGCACCACUGACCACAGACUGCACCUCUCCCAAGUCAAAUAUGCGUAUGAUUUGUUACAAAAGGCCAACAUGUUAGAGUGUAAACCAUGCUCCACACCAGUUGCUGCCAAACUCUCCUUGUCUUCCCAUGAUGGUGUACCCUUGACUUCUCCGACUGAAUAUCGUAUGUUAGUAGGCUGCCUGCAAUACUUGACGCUCACCCGCCCUGACAUCUCGUUUGCCGUCAACAAUGUUGCUCAAUAUAUGAGCAACCCUCUUUCGACCCACAUGUUGGCCGUUAAACGUAUCUUACGGUACGUAAAAGGAACUAUUGAUCUUGGUUUACUUCUUCGCCCACAACCCCCUUCGUCUCGUAUCUCCGCAUACUCCGACGCCGACUGGGCAGGGUGUGUUGACACCCGUCGCUCUACCACUGGUUAUCUCAUCUACCAUGGAGCUAACUUGGUGUCUUGGUGCUCCAAGAAGCAGCCCACUGUCUCUCGUUCAAGCGCUGAGUCCGAGUACCGGGCGCUGUCUCAUGCCUGUGCUGAAACCACAUGGCUCACCUACUUGCUCCAUGAACUUGGCGUUCGCCCUACUUUUCCUGUCUACCUUCAUUGUGACAAUCUCAGCGCAACAUACUUGGCUGCCAACCCAGUCUUCCAUGCUCGAACACGCCACAUCAAACUCGACUAUCAUUUUGUCCGUGAGAAGGUUGCUCUCGGCAGUCAUCAAGUUUGUUUUCUUCCCUCCAUUGAUCAACCUGCGGACUUGUUGACGAAAGGUUUACUCAAGGCGCGUCACCAUUUACUUCGGUCCAAACUCGUUCAUCCAAGGAUGCCCAGUUUGCGGGGGGGUGUUAGCAGAGACUCCUCCACGUCUUCCUCUCGUCAUAGUUAGCAUGAUUAUCUCCUAUCUUAUCUUGGAGUUUUGUAAUCCCAACAGAACUUGUAUUACGAGUUAACCAGUCCCAUUAGGACUCUCUGUAAACCUUACAGACUUUGUGUAUUUAUACUCAGUGAUUACUAAUGAAAAGUACAACUUCCAUUAAUAUUAUAGUCUUACAGUUUUUAUAUUUCUACAGAACUUCAUCAAACUCUUUUGGAUCUGCCUCUGAAAUUUCAUCGAUUUCUCUAUUUUAAAUGGGCUACCAGCGUUAAAUAAAAUGAAUGAAGAAUAAGUCCAAAAUUAUGUUUUGAAAAGAAGUUAUGAAACAAACCUUUGCUCAUUGUUGGUGAAAAGAGCCCUCUUGAUUGAUUCCCUCUUCCGUUUAUUCGAUUGUUCAGUAGUUUCAGCACUUGAAGUAGAAGACGAAACCGUUGUGGAAGACCCUAUGAUUUCUCUUGGUAAAGGCAGUGGAGUUGCUGGUUGCAUGGUUGUAUCAUCGGUUACAUUGUGAAUGAGGACAUUGCUUGGAUUGAAAUUUUUCUUCUAUUUCCAAAUCGCAGAUGGAAAAUUUUCUUUUGCCCGAUUAGUUUAAGAAAUUCAUUUGGUAAUUGGUGAUGGUCCACCAAUUUCUGAUUCAGAACCAAAUCUUUGCAGCUCAUGCCAAAAAGUUUUUCACCACAUUUUUCAAUUAUCAAAGCAUUUAUCUCAUUGGUUUCAUCUUCGAGUAUCAGAUUGACGUUAUACCUACAUUUAAAAACCUAAUUUAAGAUCACAAAGAAAUAUCCAAAACAAAAACAACCAUGAGAUAUUUAGGUGUUUAAAAAAAUAUCAAUAGUGAGAAUGAAAAAUUAUAUACCAUUGACAGAGCAAAAAAUUAAUUGAUUCUAAACUGAAAACUGCAAAGUAAAAAAAAAAUGAACUCAUGGUAUAGACAGAAACAAAACUGCAGCACAACAUGUUAAAUAUCACCAAGGUGUUGGAAUUUGGCUUGGGUGUUUUUGACAAAUUAGCUGCGCAGUUAUUGGGUCCUUAUGCAUUUGUUUUACACAGCUGGGGCAGACACUAUACCACCAAUCGUAACGUGUGUCAAAACGCUUCACAAAUGCUCUACAUAGAAAUGUCUCGUCCUGUAAUAUAUUUUGUAAUAUGUCUGUGAAACUGAGAACAAUCAUAUGCAUUCUUUUUAUUGAAGGUGUGAAAUCACAGUUGUAAAAUUUUAAGAGAACAUGAAAAGGCAUAAUCAAGUUUUAAACCUUGUACAAAUCUGGAUCCAAAAAAGCCAUUUCAUCACAGUUUGAUGUGAGUGAUGUAUAGAAGACGAGUGAGGAAAAUAAGUAUAUACUUGAUAACUUGAAAACUAUAUUGGUUCAGUCCAAGCACUAUUGGGAAUCCGUGAAUCAGAAACUUGGUUUUGGUCCAAGUAAAUACAAUACAUAAACAUAGAUACAAAAUAGUUUGGAGACAGUGGACUGAAUAUGGUUUGUGAAACCAUUUCAUAAAGGGUAUUAUCAACAACAUACUUAAAAUGAUAAGAUAAGAGAAAUUCAGCUUUUGUCCCAAACUUAUCGUUACUUAUAUAGAUAUCAGUUUUUGUUAAGUACAAUUCAUAUUUAAUUUUAAAUAAAAGUAUUUAAAAUAAUUUCUGACCGCACGAUGUACGAUGAAUGGACACGAUUUGAGGAUACCCGAGAUCCUCACAAAGAGGAUCCGGAGAUGAUCCUUAAUUAUAUAACUGUUAUCAAAUAAAUAAAGAAACAUAAUAUUUUUAAUUAAAUAUUAAAUGAUUAAGUACCUAAAACUCCCCAACCUUUUAGUGUCAUUUCAAAUUAGUUUCAACAUUUUAAACAUUCCAAACAAGUAUCCAACCUAUUGAAAUGUCACAUCUGUUAAGCCCCAGUUAAUAAUAACAUAGAUUCUAUUCAAAACGACCAAUUGGGUAUAUCAUGGUCAACAUUAAUAUUAGUUGGAUCAAAAUCUGAAUUUCAAACAUAGAUUAUACAAUAUGGAAUCCCAUGAUCAAAUAAGUAUUGAUUGAAUAAAAAAUGAACUCAAAUUGAAAUUACAUUAGGAAGGCAAUCUCCUAACAAAGAAGAUGGUUAAGAAUUUAGUUACGGUUUCAAGGAGCUUGUUUAUGCUCAUGUGAUUUCCUCAUUCGCCGGUUCUCAGCUCGUAAAGCUUUCAGCUCUUCUUUGUGAGCGGUGAAGAUGGUGGUGGCCACAUCAUGAUAGUCCAUACCAUUUCAGCAACCUCCAUGACCUUCUUCUCAAUGUUGGCGACUUGAGUUGUAGGUGGAAUUGGUGGUUUUGUGGUGGAAUUUGAGGUGAUGACAUGAAGGGGUGGUAAGCCCUAGCUAAUUUAAUAGAUUUUAAACUGGGGCUUAACAAAUAUGACAUUUUCAAUAGGUUGAGUACUUGUUUGGAAUGUUUAAAAAGGUUGUGACCAAUUUAGAAUGACACUAAACGGUUGGGGGUUUAAUCCAAUAAUAAAUAACACCCUAUUAAUCUAUGGCUAAAUAAUUUCUAUGUUAACUAAUUAAUAUAUAAUCUUCAAAUUGUGUCUUAAAAAAUAGGGUCAACAGAGACAGUGGACUGAAUAUGGUUUGUGAAACCAUUUUAUAAAGGGUAUUAUCAACAACAUACUUAAAAUGAUAAGAUAAGAGAAAUUCAGCUUUUGUCCCAAACUUAUCAUUACUUAUAUAGAUAUAGAUAUAUGCAGAACAAUGGUUAUUUUAGAUUAACCUUGUAUUCAACUAGUAGAUGAACUGAUCCCUUUCAGUCUCACAUAACAAAGUAGUCCAUAUAGCUUGCAGUAAAGCUGGAAAAAGCUCACCAUCAUAUAGAAGCAACGCAUAGUCGGCGUUCGUCAUUUUUAAGAUUGGGAAAACUCAAACACAGCUAUUUCCUCCACACGACCACAUCGUUCCGAACCCUAACUAAAUCUUUGCAUGUCAAAAGUUGCCAAAUAAGAAAUCAUGUUUAUUUCAUGACGCAGACCCAUCUUUUUCGAUGACCUCCUUCUUCCUUUUAUCAUCCCUGCCCUCUCUCUCUGUUCUCGUUUCUUACUGGAGUUUGCAGCUCUUGAGGUCCCUAUUUAUACUUAUAACAAUACUUGGUGAUUAAGCACCAGAUAAAUAUAUAUAAAGGGAUAGUCGGCAAUUGGAGAGGAGGAGCUGUCGACUUGAUAGAGAAGAACAAAUAAGGCAGAUACACCUAGCUAAUAGAUAAGGCUUGGGUUUUUCAUCAUCAUGCAAAGCACGAGCUUCAAGUGUUCAAGAAUCAAAUAGAUGGUGAAGGUGUCACUCAAAAGGAAAGAUGAAAACUGGUUUGCCACCUCCAAACUGGAGUGUUCUCCAAGUAGUCCUACUCAUUUAUCCUUUCAAAUUACAAGCACGCCCUUUCUUGCAUUUGGUCAUCACCUGUUGACCAAUAUGCCUAUAUAUAAUAAUUACAUACAUAUUAUACAUAUAUACAAGAAACCCAAUAACACAAUUAUAAAUAUAUUUCAGUAGAAAUAUACUUUCCAAAUCACAGUCUAUCCCCUUAAAUAAAUUUUGUCCUCGAAAUUUAGUUUAAGCACCUAAUUACUUGACAAGUCCGGAGUUUCUACCUUUGAUCGGACUCAAAUUUCCAAGUGUAUCCAUGGUUGUCAUGUAGAGUAAUGAUUCAUGUAACUCUCCAAGUCGGAGUUCAAAGUCUUAAGCUUAUAUUGAAUACACGUACUCAUAUUUAGUACUUAGUCGAACACAUACAAAUGCAGAUCUUACCCCGCAGUGCUCAAUCCAGAGAAUUGGUACUCAUAAUCAAUAAGAUUCGUACGGCUUCAAUUUUGGUUGCAGCAAUGCUACUCUUGCUGAAGACCUGCCAUGUAAGUGAUUUAGUUUUUGCUUUUCAUUUCUACUUUUCAUGCAUAAUUAUGAAUUUGUGGGUAAUAUUUUCUACUUGAUCUCCAAUUCAAAGAGAAGGAUAUUGAAUUGUAUUAUCAUUUUUGUUGGAGCAGUUAAGUUUUUAUUUAAUAAUAUAUAUGUUUAUAUGGUUAUGAUUUGUUUUAUUAGAAAUAUUAAAUAUAUAUAUAACUGUCAUUAGAAGUAAUUUCCAUUCUUAAUUAUAUAGGAGACGUGAGGAAGUUUAUUACUUCAACAAAUUUGAAAUGCUUUCUCUGAAUAGAGAAGAUGGUCACAUCCACCUCCAUAUGUAAUCUAUCCGUUUUGAUUAUUUAGGUUUUCGUUUAUUCCGGAUUUCUAGCCCCUAAUUUAUUAAUCCUUCAACGUCUAUUUCUUUACUUUUGUAUAUAAAUAUAAGUCCCAAGUAUCAAUGGAAUAUAUAGAGUAUACUCUACAAGUUUAUAUAUAAUUUUUGAAAUUAAGUUUUGAAGGCAACAUAUCGAAAGGGUGCAAGUUUGAAGGUUCUUCCAUUGUGCAAAGAAGAACCUUAUCAAAAGAAGGUUCUGGACUGUUUUAUCCUGGAGACGACGUGUUGUUUAUGAACUGCUUGCACACUUUGGGCAGAGCUGUGAAAUGUCUUAAAGAGAGUGACGUAGUCCGCGACUCAUCCCAAGAAUCAUUCACCACUCAAAGCUUCUACAUUUUUUCGGGUAACUUCGUUCAUUUCUAUUUCAGUUUACAACAAUUUUAGUUAAAAAGCAUUACCAUUUUAGUUAAAUUUAAUCCCUAAUUGAUCUGACUAACCACCCACCCAAAAAGGAUUAUCAUACAAAAUGUCUGCAAAUAGAUCGAAUACUAAUAAUGAAAAUUAAUCCUUAAUGCUUCCAUCUGACUACAUGGUAGUAUUUUGUGGCUAAACAUAGUUUUUACGCGAUCAAAUAUUUACCAACUUACAUUGACAAAUUCAUUCUCCUUCAUUUGAACAUCAAAAGCCAAAUCACACAUGGAUCCCCAAACUUUAGCUUUACCAUUACUAAUCCUCUUGCUUGGGCAUUAAAAAAAAUCAUAAGCAAACAUGAAUCUUAUUAUAUACCAACUCAGGAUGUUAUCAUAAAAAUCAAUUGAUACGAAGAGUAGAGCUAUUAAAGACCUUCCAAAUUUUAUCAAGUGUUACAGAAGUAAUAUAUUUUGUAUGCAGAAAUUCAAAGCACGCAGAGAUCUCAAGUCAAAAACAGAGGUACCCAUCUUCUUUUGUUCGAUUUUUGCUUUGUUUUAUCUCUGUUUUCAUUUUUGGGUAGGAUUUUGUGCUUUAUAAUUGGGUUUAAUGUGAAAUUUUUGAAGCAGCUAAAUCUCAUUCAGUUCUGUUUGAUUGAUUGUUUAUCUAUGAUUUGUUCUGUUAUGCUUGGUGCUUGGUAUGUUUAAAUUGAAUUGGAUUUAUAUUUGAUUUCAAGUUGAUUAAUUUUAUUUUAUUUUUGUUGUAAAUCAUAUUAGUUGCCGAUCAUGAAACAAUUUCAUGUUUGGUUUAAGAGAAUAGGCUUGAUUCAGUGAGAUUUGGAUUCAUGAGUUAUAGCCAUCUGAGAUAGGCAAGAGUGUUUGCAUUCCUUAGAAAAAAAUUGGGAGCUACAAAACUAUGCUUUAAAUUUGAGUUUUGUGAUUACUAUUUUUUAUCUUUAUCUACUCUAGCUAUACAAUUCUUCCAUGUUUGUCAGAUCAUGGAAUGAGUUUCUCAUGCUGAGAUUGUAACCCAAUCAAUAAGUAAGUGAAACACAUAAGUUCUAUAUCGCAUGUUAGUUUUGAUCAAUUUCUAAAAAUCCGAUGUAGUGGAUUGUUAUUUUAUUGGUUACGCAAAACGAUUAAGGUUUUAUGUUUUUGAGGAUCAUAAACAUACCAUAAGUAGGAAUAAUUACAUAGAAUGUGAGGACAAUGGUGUGAAUAAAUAAUUUGUUUUGAAGAAGGAGAGUUAAUUAGUAGUUAAACACACCAAUGUUGUAAACCUACAGACUAGUCAAAUAGACCAAAAGAUGCUGUAGACGAUAUCGAAUAAGAAGAAGAUCAAGAUGGAAUCUAUAUAGAAGGCCCUACAACAGAACAAGAGCCAAAGAGGUCUGAAGGUAAAUAAAGUCAUCUAUAUGAUUCAAUUUUGUGUACUAAUAAAGAGUUAUUUCUAGUUCACAUUUUGGAAGAGGGUUGAAGCUAUAUAAACUAAAUUAGAGUUCAUGAAAAACAAUAAAGCGUGGGACUUAGUGGAACCAAAACAAGGUAUUGGGUCAAUAGGACGUAAGUGAGCGUUUAAGACUAAGAAGGAUUGAAGCGGCCAAAAACCUUGAGAUAUGUGUAUGUAUAUUAAGGAGGUUGAGUUUCGAUGACAAAAUUCUCUUUACAGGGAAAGAAUAUAUGUACUUUUCGGUUCUUGCUUAAUCUAUGAAUUGUUUUGGUUGAUUGUCUUGAAAGUUGAUUCUCUUUUAGAGCAAACUGGGAUUUUAAACCAAGAAAUUUGGAGGUUUUAAAGAAGUAGGGCUUAGUAAUGCUUAAGGGAUUAUAGUAAGAGAAAAGGUGAGAAAGCUCAUUACUGUUAGCAAAUUAUGACUAAAGUAGUUGUGCUAUUAGAAGUUGGACAAAAGAAAUUUUAGAGCCUUGAAGUAUUCAAGAGAUUUGAAAGAGUAGAGAUUAAGUAUAGGCCAUAUGCAAAAGAAAAUGUUGUGCUAUCUCAAGGGUCAAUAUAAAAACACAUACUAGUUUUCAAGAGGAAAGAACAGUUGGAAACAAAUGGUUUAUUCAGAUUCCAAUUUUGGUAGAUUAUGUACUUCUAAAGUCAAUUUCUAGUUUUGCGUUUGUAUUAGAAUUGGAGGUGCAAUAUUAUAGACAAAUGUUAUGCAAUCAAUAGUUAUUUUUCUGUACUAUGUAUGUAUACUUAAUUCGUGGAUGUUGUGGAGCUCUAACGCAUGCAGGGUAGUUAAAGUUUUCUCCAUACCUGACGCCCUCAAUAUUUGCUAGAAAGAGGAAGAGUGAGGAAAUGAUAUACAAGUGUUGAUUAUAUUCACACUACAGAUAUGACUACAUAUAUAUUAAUAGAGUUAUUCCUCAGUUAGUUUCUUUAAAGCAUGUCACUAGAAUGGGAGAAUUAUCAAGCUUUAAAGAUGCCUAAAAUUAGUGGGAGCUAUUUUGCUUUUCAAUUAAAACUUCAUGGAUAUGCAUUAAGGAUUGAUGUGUUUUAUUUCUAAAUAUUUGUCAUUACAGCUAGCCAAUUUUGAAGAUUGUCUUUUCGUCAUAAGGACUUAUUUUAAGCAUUAAGGAAGAUCACGUUGUGAUCGUAAAGAGGACCAUAUAUGUGUUUAGUGUGAUACUCACCUUUAAGCCUUAAGCACACUUAUCAUAUAUAUACGUUAGUCCAUGACUUGUUGGUACUUUAUGUGAAUGUUGUUGCUUGUAUGUGAUUAUAGAGGUACACAUCUGCCAUAUUGGAUAUCGUAGUCUAUAGUCCUACGAGCUAAUGAUAUUUGACACUAAGUUUGAAUAGAUACUGCUAUCAAAUAAUCUUCCAAAGUUGCGCGCAUCAAGAAAUUUAUUCAUGAUCCAAAGAGCUUCUUGAAUAGAUGUCACGUCCAAAGAGCUUCCUAAUUGUGAAACGAAUUCGGAGGUAAUUCUUCAUUCCAACUGACAAAGGAAAAAGAAAAUAAAAGAAAAGGCCAUUGCGAAGUGAAAUUCUCAUUCCUACACGAGUUGGUAAAGUUAAUUAGUAAUAUUUCUCAUUCCUAUACAACUACGGGUUGUGUGAUGAGCUGGGUUUUUUUUUUUUAAUCAAACCUCGACUGUACGAGGGAUAUUUUAUUGAUAAUGAAAAAAAGUUAUACCUAGUCAAGGGUUGACAUAAACCUUACCCCUCAUAAUACCAAGAAAAGGAGAAAAAGAACAUGAAUAAGAAGGGGGGGGACAUAAACCUUACCCUCUAGAGGCGGGGACAUGAAACCUAACCCCUCUAAAGCCAAACCUAAAAGGUCUAAAACUUGCAAAACAAGUCAAACAAUAACACCACAAGGUUAGGAAAAAACAAGAAAUGAAGACAUACCUGCAUGGCGAGAUGCACAUUAGUUUGAGAAGUGGAAGCCAGACACGCCUACAUAGUUUGAAAACAAAGCAUCACGAGCUGGCGGCGGAGGGGGGUCAUGCCACACCAAAGUUGGAGAAGACAAGUCCAUGUUAGCAAAUUUAUUUGCAACAACAUUUCCUUUGUGAUAUAUGUGAGAGGCGUAGAAGGUCAUAUUCCGAAUGCGGUCCAGACAAAUAGACCAUUGUGUACGAAGAGGCCAAGGAGGAUCAAAAUCGGUUGAUUGGAUAGCAGAAGAGUCACCUUCCAACCAAAGGCAAUGCUAACCCAGCUGAUAUGCAAACUCGACACAAUAAUAGUUGCUGAUAAUUUUGCAAAAAAUGAGUUGCAAUGACCAAUCCAUUGAUAAAAACCACCAAGAAACUAACCAUGGCAAUCCCUAAAAACUCCUCCACAUAAAAUUAUAAAUGAAGUGUGAUGAGAAUAUAAGAAUCUAAUUAGUAAGGUGAUUGGUGAGUUACAUUUUGGAUUUGUAUAACCAUCAAUGUUUCUAUGCUGAUUUCAUUAUUAUGUGAUUUUCAGUUAAAGACUAAUUUUGUUUUCCUAUCAUGUUCACUUAGAGGUGUUAUGCUAGAGUUGGAAGGCACUAUAGUGGUAGAAUUGCAAUCCGCUUGACAUGGAAAGGUAGUCUUCGUGCAACCACUCUAACCAAAUACUUUACUAAUGCUUUUCAACUAUUACAAUAAUAUUUGUGAUAUAUUUUUUUACGUCUUUUAGAUUUGUUUACCUUACGAAUGCAACGAUUAAGGUGUUACAAAUUUCGAGGAUGAAAUUUAUUUGAAGAAGGGUAAAUUGUAAUACCCCGCAUUAAAAAAACAGAAUAUAUAUAUAUGUGUGUGUGUGUGUGUGUGUGUGUGUCUAAGUAAUUAUUUUUAUUUCAAAUGUAAUAACUGUAUUGGAUUUCUUUAUAUAUGCUAUGAGUACAAAAGAAAACCCUCGUAUUUUGUGAUAUAUUUUUUUACGUCUUUUAGAUUUGUUUACCUUACGAAUGCAACGAUUAAGGUGUUACAAAUUUCGAGGACGAAAUUUAUUUGAAGGAGGGUAAAUUGUAAUACCCCGUAUUAAAAAAAACAGAAUAUAUAUAUAUAUAUAUAUAUAUAUAUAUAUAUAUAUAUAUAUAUUGUGUGUGUGUGUGUGUGUGCGCGCGCGCGCGCACGCGCGCGUGUGUCUAAGUAAUUAUUUUUAUUUCAAAUGUAAUAACUGUAUUGGAUUUCUUUAUAUACGCUAUGAGUACAAAAAAAAACCCUCGUAUUUUUGGCAUGUAAGUUAGUAGGAAUUCUUUCACUACAAGAAUAAAUUAAGGCCUGACUAGUACUUUUAAGACCCCGUCUGACGAGUUUUGCCCGACUAUUCUUUUCUGACGAACCUCUGUCGAGUAAAGUUUCCAGCGAUGAGUCCUCCUUUUAGCCAACAAAGAUUUUCCCUCUGGCAAAGAGGUUUUUUUAUUUUUUAUUUUUUUAUAUGUGUGUGUGUGUAGUGUGUACUGGAAAUAUGCAUGUAGCUGCUUGAAUUUAGUUGAUUGUUGUUAUCAUUCAUUAUUGUGUUUACACCUCUUGAGAAAAAUAAUUUCUACAGGAUUUUUGCCCAAACGAUGUCUGAAUUUGCAUCACAUGUCAAGAGACAUGCUAGUUUGAUCAAAAUAGGGACUAGUAGUGGAGCCCACUUCACAUCGAACAUCACCGAUCGGAACCGUUUAUUUUUCAAGUUGCAUUUUAUAGAUUGUCCUUGCAAAAUAUUAGCCAAAUCGAAGAUGUUCGAGGCAUCUAAUUGAGUUCAAAGAAAUUGACGAACACUAUGUUCCAAAAAACAUUGAAAUUUUAUUAUGACAUUCAAAUGAGUAAAUGGUUUCUGAUUGACUUGAUUUUUUUCAAGGAUGAUCUAUAAAUGAAGACUUACAAAAUAGACGGUUCGGAUAAUUGAAGUUCGUUGUAUAAUUGGCCCUAUAACCAGUGGCGGAUUCAGGAUUCGAACAUCGGGUGGUCCUAAUCAAGCUACGCUAGGUCCAAGUCGGGCGGCGGGAUGGGGCUUAGCGCCUAUGCGCCUUGACGAGGCCUAGGCAGGGGCAUAGCCAUGUAUUCGGCGGAUUUAAGUAAAUUAUUAUAUAUCAUAUAUAAAUAAAUGCCUAUUUACACUUAAAAACUGUACUUGUAUUGAGAAUUUGAGUUUAUUAUUUUAAUUAGGUUUAUUAUUUAACAUGUAACAUACAAAAUAUCAAAAAAAAACUCUUUAGUAUUUUUGUGAAUUUGAUGGUACGAGAUGAAAGUUAAAGUGAUUACGAGUUCAUAAUACACGAAAUAUUUUUCAAAGUUGAAAAGUUUUUUAUCACCUACUGGCUCACUUUACAACCAACCCCAAACUUUUAAAAUCUCACAUACAGUACAGUAACCUAAACAGUAUAUCAACAUUUGAUAAAGUUUAAGAAUAAUAACUCCAACUCGCUUGAAGAACUCAAAAUCUAUAUCUAUACUUAUCAUACAUACUAUUAAUUAAUUUCAAAAAAUUGACAGGUCGUUUCUUUUAAUUUCAAAAUGGCGGAUGUCGUUUUUAUUUAAUGAAAGGAUAAACAGUGUUGUCUUGUUCAAGAUUUUUAACUGACAGCUUUUUCUUUCCCCGUUUUCUUCCUUGCCCUCGCGCUCGGGACUAUGAAUGAAUCUACCCCUGCCCCUAACUAGUCCCCAUUUUUACAAAAAAAAAAAAAAAAAAAAAAAAAAAAAAAAAAUUACUGAAGAUCCUCUUGAGAUAGGUAGGACUAACAUUUUCAAUAGGCGCAUGCACUUUUAUAUAAAAAGGGACAUUAUAUUGUAUCUGGAUUUUAUGGCUAAAGACGUACAUAUGAAUACAAUAUAGGAUAUUGACGCAUCAUAUGUUGCAUGUUGUAUUAAAUGUUUUGUUGAUUGUGGACCUGCAUGAGCUUACAAAAUGUAUUAUUUACUUGAUUCUUUGUAUUCGAAAUAGCGAAUUUGACGGUUAACAAAAAGAAUGCUACUACACCCACCCUAAUGUCUUAUUUUCCCACCCUAAUUUUUAUUAAAAUUUUAAUGACUAAUUUAUCCUCUCAUAAAAUAACAUAUAAGGACAUGCAAAAAGGCAAUGCUUCCGUUUCAGUCUCAUUCGAGCUCUCUCAGUCAUUUCUGAAACUCCAACCUCCAUAUUAAUGGACAAUGCAAUUGUGAUCAACGUUAUGAAGCGAACUGGAUCUUGUGGACAGGUGACUCAAGUGAAGGUCAAGUUUCUAUUACUUUAUGUCGGUUAAUGGCGAGGAGAGAGGAAGGGGAUGAGGCAUUUGGAGGGAAGACGAUUAUUGCGGAUUGAGAUGCCAUUGCAGCUGCCACUGCCAAACCCACUAGGCGAUGCUAGGAGGUGGUAUCUUUGAUUGGGAUUGGGAUUGGGAUUUGAUUUGGAUUUGGAGGAUGGACAUAUCCAUUGGCAACCAGUUUUGAUUCCACUUUUGGUACUUCGUUUCUUGCCUUGCCUUCGCCUACAUUUGCUUCUGUGGCUCUGGGCACUUGGGCACCAACCAAGCACAGGCAGGGCAUGCAAAUUGCAAUGGAAGUGCAAAGUAUGUGUAUGAUUGUAUCAAAAGUGACCGGUGAGCUCGGCUUUUUCCUUUCUAUUUUGUUUCAAAAUUAUUUCAUAUUUGGAAAUUCAAAGAAUUGAAAACAGAAUGGAGGACAUGUUACUGGAAGUCUGGAAGGAAAUCAGGCAUUGAUAUGAUAGUAUUUGGGGGUUUUUAAGCGAUCAGUAACGAUGGGAUAUGAGGCCAUUGAUCAAGGUGUUGGGGGUAAGGGCGCUUUGGGAAUAACAGUGGGUGGAAAAAUAGUGUGGUUUUCUUUUUACUUUUUUUGUUGGGUGGGAAUAAAAGGUGGGUGAGAAGAUCAGAUAUUGAGAUGAGUAUAACACCACUCAACAAAAAUGACAUAUAAAUUAUAAUAUACCGAAAAUGUCCUAUCAUACUCUUAUGCGUCAGCCCGUGACAUAAGUCGGUGGAUGUUCACGAAUGGGGAACAAAAAUAAAUCCUGAUUUUUUGGCCGAAAAAAAAAGAAGAUAUUAUCUUUGGGCCAGAAGUUAUGAGUUUCCGUUGUGGGCCAGAGCCCAGAGACUUCGGCCGGUUCGUUCUUAACAGAAAGGACGACGUCGUAUCGCCCUCCUCUUAUACUGUUCUGUUCCCUGUUUGGCAGAUCGGAUAGAGGAUCGGAUAGGACUAAUUAUACGAACGCGGGUGUUUGGCGUUCACUCGUACUAAAUAAGCGCCGGAUUAAAUUAACCGGUGUGCUUAUUUAGUACGGUAUACACCGGACUAAUAAAACCAACCAAAAGGCCCGGAUUAUUAGUCGGCCCUCUCUCUCUCUUGCCUUCUCUCGGCCUUCUCUCUCUCUCUCUCUCUCUCUCUCUCUCUCUCUCUCUCUCUAGGCGUCGUUGUCCUCCCCCCCCGUCACCUUCUCUCACCAUCGUCGUCCUCCCCGUCGCCGUCGUCGUCCUCCCCUGCAACUGGGUCUUGCAAAGAAGCAUGCACUCUCUUGCCCGGCAUGGUGUCUGGGAAACCUCUCUUCUCAAAACGCCAACAAACUACUCUCCUUCUCUCUGUCAAACCGCCGCCAGUCCAUUCCACUUGCGAUGCUGCAGUGCAGGAGGUAACCUUGUCAACAAAUCGUUAGUUUGUUUCGUUUGUUGCAUCUUGAUUUGGGUUGAUGUGGAUCUGAUGACUCAUGGUUGCUCACCAAAUGUGCAGGCAGGCGGGGAAGAAGAAGGGAGAGAGAAGGAGGGCGUUUGAGGGGUUCGGCGGAGAGAACAGGCAAGAAGAAGGGAUGGUUUCAGAUUUUAUUUUUAUUUUUAUAAGUUUAAUUUAAUUUUAAGUUUGAUUUAGCCUAUCCGGUAUAAAACUAAACACAGUAUAAAUAAUACGGUCAUUAAUCCGAUACUGCACCAAACGCCCGACUAAUUUAGUCAGUACUAUCCGGUGGCUAUUUAUCCUAUCCGACAGAAAUAGUCAGUACAGUCCGAGCUGCCAAACGAGGCCUUAGUGUUUCCCUCCAUUUUCCACUUUCUACUUUACGAAGCAAGAAGCAACGCUGCAGAGAGAGAGAGAGAGAGAGAGAGAGAGAGAGAGAGAGAGCUCAGGAGUCGGGAGUGACGAUUCGCAGUCGCACCUCUACAAUUUCGUCCCGAACCGAAAACGAUCAACACCUGUAAGCUCCUUAGUCCUUAUCUCAGAUUCAUUAAUUCCUGAUACAGUUAGUUUGUAGUUAGAUUUUUUUCUUGGAAUUGAAUUUUCUUGAUGAGAAUAUUUUCGAGAAUCGAAUUGCUUGAUUGAUUAGGAGAAUCUAAGUAGAUAGUGUAAUGCACUUCCUUCGUGUUUGAUGCGAUGAAGCAUUUCUUGAACUGGAGGAAAUUGUUGCGUUUUUUUUUAAUUUUUUUUUAUUACAGCGUUGCAAUUUUUAAUUGGGGCAAUUCUUCUUCAAUUUAGGGUUGAAAAUUUAUGUCUGCACUAUAGCCUCCCAGUUGAUAACAUAAAAUCUUGUAUAAGUAAGAUAGAUUAAAGAAAACUUAGGAAACGACCAAGAAUUGGGUUUGAGGACCACUCAUUUAUGGAAUAUAUAUGUAUACUGUAUUUGUAGAUUAAGAAUUUGCUCCUGCACUUUCCUGGAUUAAUGAUAAAAUUCAUCUUAUGGUAGUUAAUGAUGAGAAGGGCAAGGAGUUGAUUGUGUGACUGUAUAUAUCUUGAGAGCAUGCUCGAAAGGAGAGGGAUGUCGAGGGAGUAGAAAGUACUCGUCUCAGACUUGUCCAUUUUCAUGGUUCAUGCGUACGUUUAUAAAAUGGAAAGCCUAUUGGAAGGCUGGAGAACCUAGGAGAUGCAUAUAAAAUGAAAGCCUAUUAGAAGCUUUUUACGGGCCUAUCAGAUCAUAUAUAAGAUUUUUUUUUACUCUUGCAGGUUUUGGUUCAAUAUGGAGGUGCAUAUUCAGCCAAUAACAUGCCCCAUCACAAAUAUCGUCAUUUGGGAGCCUAAGAUUGAAGAAAAUGCUAAAAAGUUCUCAAGGUAUCUCUCGGAUUAUGAAGAGUUGCAGAUUCUUGGCGAAGGGUCCUUUGGGGUCGUAGCGCGCUGCAGUAACUUAUUAGACAACAAAGUCUAUGCGGCAAAGAAAAUUACUCUAGGGGUUCGUUCUUUGGACUUUGAGACCAUCCAACGGUAAGAAACUAAGAAUUUGGAAUUUACCGUGAAAUUCUAUUUGUAUUUUUAGGCUAUUGUAUUUUUUUCGUUUAACUAAAAAGGUAUUCUAGAGGUCGCACUUGGUGCGAUGGCAAGUGCCUUCGCCCAUGAGUGGUAGGUCUCGGGUUCGAGACUUGGGAGCAGCCUCUCCAUAAAUGGGGGUAAGGCUAGCCGACAUUCACCUCUCCCAGACCCUGCGUAAAGCGGGAGCCUUGUGCACUGGGUACGACCUUUAACUAAAAAGGUAUUCUAUGUACAUGUGCAGCGAGGUUGCAAUUGUAUCGGGAUUAAAACACCAAAAUGUGGUGCAAUACUACACCUCUUGGACUGAUCUGACUUUUGCUGGUGGGAGAGAUCAACUUGAACAGGAAGAAGGCUUGCGUAUGGAUGAUGAUGGAAGUAACAGUUCGCUUGAAGAAGGACCUGGGAAUACGAACAACAAAGAGAAGCAGCAACUUCCAUGCUUGUACAUUGUACAAGAAUGUUGUGAAAGGUACCAGAUUGAGACUACCUAAACAUAUGUGUUCUGUAUUUUUUUUCCUAUGUUAACUUUGUUUGGUUAAUCCUCUUUUGCAGAAAUUUGAGUAAUGAGCUAUUGAAGAGGGAGGGUAACAUGGCAUGGGAUGAGGCAUUGCCUGUUUUCACAGACAUAACAAGAGGGUUGCUGUACAUCCAUGGGAAUGGUAUAGUGCAUGGAGAUCUGAAUCCGUCAAAUGUACUUGUAAAAGACAAUGAAUGGAAGAUAGGAGAUUUCGGGAUUGGUAAGUGUUUUGAAUUUGUUUAUUAGUAAAAGUAAAAGAUGGUGUAAACUUUUGGGAAAUUAUUUAAAGCACCUGUUUAUGCAGCACGAAAGUGGGUAAUUCUUUCGGGGAUGAGGAGAUAGAAGAAGAAUUUAAAGGUCGGAUGUAUGAUGCCCCCGAAGAUAAAGUGGAUUUCAAGAGGGACAUGUUCAGCCUUGGUAUGAUUCUAGUGGAGCUGAUUGCACAACCAGGGACAGUUGCUGAAAAGUGUGCCAUUCUCAACGGCUUUAAGAAGGACGGAAUACUUCCUGAGAAAGUGAGUGGCCAUCCACUUAAGAGCCUUGCGCUGAAGCUUUUGGACAACGACCCUGCAAAGAGGCCUUCGCCGGCAGAGGUUUUGGAUGAUAUCACUGCUUAGGACGCACAUGGACAUAACUGUUUUGUUGUUGUAUAGUGCCACUCCACACAUUCACUCACUCGUCCACAUUAUGCUGAAGUAGGUAUAUUCAAUAUCGUGAUACCAAGUGUUUCUUGUUAUACAAAUGUUUCAGGCUUUGUUAUAUACUUGAUUGGUUGGUUGAAAUUGAUCACAAUAUAUACAAUGAAAUUGAUUGGUUGUAUGUAUGGUGAAAGGCAGUACAUAUAUAUAUAUAUAUAUAUAUAUAUAUAUAUAUAUAUAAUCUUGUAGAGUGUUUUGACGUCCAUGAUUAAAUGUGUUUUUAGAAUUCUAUCCUUUGGGAUACUCGUUGUAUGAAAUUAGCAACCUAAAAUUAAGCUACUAAUUACACGUUUUAAACUCGCAAGUACACAAAAUCAAACACAGUAUAGAAACCAAGUAUGAGGUUAUUCCCACGACGAUUGCACUAAUAUGUUAUCUUCCCAACAAUUUAAAUUAAUUCUUUCACAAAAGCUAUCAAAUAUGCACAAAAAUGAUUUAACAAACUAGUUUGAGAUGACUUGAAUCUGAAAGUAUAAAAGCACAGUUUUUACGGAACUAGGCAAAGAAAAGUUGGCAACAAGGGUUUUAAAAAUAAUGUCCGAAGGCUUUUAGGUUUCAAUCUCUAAUCUUUUUCACCUAACCAAUCGACACACACAAUGACACAAAGCAAAUAGAUGCUUAACGUUUAUCAACCUAAAGGCAUGACUGAUUUCCCUAAACAACAAAGUAGGCAUUGGUGUCCAUACACUAACUCUUUUCAUUCUCGAACUAUUUAGCAUGGUAUCUAAUAAGUUGCACUCCGAGAAAGCAUAAUACAAUGGAAAUCGACAAACACACGAAUCGUAGAACAUGGUAUCUAUUCCGGUUAUUUAUGAUAAUUAAUUUCAGGAAACGUAACUAGUUCUCUUGUUACUUGGCAUAGGUACAAGACUCAAUCUUCCAAAUUUGCUUAUGUAACGAACUCAAAUUACAAAGCUAUCCUACGGUGAUCUGACGUAGAAUAACUCCUAUGGUGCCUGCUCUCUUCUUUCGUUAUAUCCCUUCUUUUUCUGUUUUAUUCCCCGCUGCCCUGCUGCUCAACUGACCAGGGAUAUACAUCCCUUUUACUUGUAACCGAGAAGGCUAAUAGCCUUCUUUUCCCUUGUCUCCUAAUAAGCUUAAGGUCCCAUAAGAUCGAAACUCCUUAUUUAUUUGCUUCUUCGUCUUCUUCCAACUGGUUAAUCUAACAUAAAAAAAAAAAAAAAAAAAAAAAAAAAAAAAAAGGAAAAAAGACUGCUCGAACUCCUUAUACAUAGGUAUUUUAACCCUCCUUUAAUCUGCCAAGCAGUAAAAAACUUUAAUUCGCUCGCAGUCCGACCUUCAUGUACUAAAACUGUCAUAACGCCCUUUAGAAAAAUUAUACUAACGAACCGCAAAAUUCUAUAGAAAAUAGAACCCGUAGGUUUCCAAGCGUGCAUGGCUCAUUCCUAGUUCUUCCCGAGUCGGUAAAGUGUAUUUCACGAACUCGACUGAUCUGCACAAGCUGUGCUGACCACAUAUGAUUGUAAAAGCCUUUUUAGUCUCCAUGCUUUCUUUUUAACUCAUUCUCUACUCUUUGCUUGUUACAACCUAUAAAACACAAAUAGAAUGAAAAACCUAUAUAAAAGAGCAAAACAAAGGUGCAAACAAGGACAAUUCUUAUGUAUAUAAUGACGAGUUAAUGAGCACAACACUUGUACGUAUGUGUGCUGUAUGCAUAUGUCCAACUUUGGUCGACUAGUUUCGGAGAUUAGCUUAAAAUUUAAGGAAAAUUAAUGAAAAUGGUUUGAAAAUUUUGAGUUUUAACGAUAAGGAAAAAUAAAGGGUAAAAUGAAUAGUACCAAGUUGACUUUUUGUUGUAAAAAUGUGAUUUUUCGUUAAAGUGAACAGUACCACGGACUUUUCAUUAAAACUUCCUAAAAUUUAUGUGUUGCGUUGCAUAGUUAAUCAAAACAGAUGUACAGUGGGCCAAGCCUAAUGAGUAUUAAAUGUAUAAUGGGCUCAGUGUAUAGAAAAUGUGUGCUGGGUGGGCCUAAGAUCCGAUCACCACCUUUGGGAGAGAAUAUUUUAUUUUAGUUUCCACUUAAUUUCAAACAAAUUUUAGUCAUUCACACAAUCUAACGGCUUUGAGAGUUCCGCAUAAACUUCCGUAGCCAUCCGCACCACAAUUCACUUGACAAGCCCUGAAAUGUGAGUUGUGCUUAUUUUAGCGUGAAUAGUAGUUAGAGUGGUAGAGUUUGACGAAUAGGCAUGGAUUUGAAUGGGCAUGACGUGAUUUAUACAAACGUCCGGUUUAUUUAUCAUAGCGUGGUAUGGUUAUAAAUAUUCUCCUUUCGCGUCGUAUGGUUAUUUGUCAUAGCAUGGUAUAGCUAAGAUGUGGCUCACGCCCUAACUCGUAAAUAGUCCUUAUUCGCAGGUCGGGGUGUUACAAAAUUGAAUUCUAGUUUAACUAAUUUCUUGAAAUUCUAGCGACAUAUAACUCAAGUCCUUUUCUUUUCAUUUGGUUCUCCAUCACUUAAGCGGGGCUUGUGAAAACACCAAACUGAACGAAUUUUCAAAACCUUAAUACCAGCCCUCUAAUCUUACCUCAGAGCGUUGAGUUCGAUUCACUGAUCAUGCAAACCGUUCGUAAUUCGGACUCCCGGGUUAAAACUUACAAAUCUUGGAAGAUUAAUAGAACUUUUCCUUUCUCUGUUUUUUAUUUUUCUUCUGUUUGCAGCGACUGAAUGAAGAACAAAGAUGGGAUUAAUCCCAUGCCGCCUCACCCCUUUGAUUUACGGUCCAAUGGCAGCUUGCCACUUGUCAAACUUGAAAGAAAAUCUACACCUGUCUUUCUUUUUUCUUCUUGUCUUUCUUUUCUUUGAUCUUAGAUUCUUAAUGACCAGCCCUCUAAUCUUAACAAGGUGAUCAGCGCCCCCUUUUUCUUCUUUGUAUACUUUAGUUUCACCUAUGCAUUUUCUCUCUUAUCUCUAACACAAUGAAAACUAAAACGAAAUGGGAAACAAAUAAUCUCCAAAUAUGAAAAUAAGCAUAAGCUUGACAACUAAUGUUUCUUGAAAAUAAGCAUUUUCACCUCGAGCCCAGAGCCGUGAGGGUUCUCUCCAUCUUGCUCUCAAACCUUAGCCUAUCUCAACUUCAAUUCUCUACCAUCAUCACAAAAUCAAAACUACGGUGGACCUCUCGAAUCAAAGAUAACCCCAGCCAUCAGAUUGUACUAUCGCCAUGGAAAUGUCGACGCUUCCGAGGCUCAGAAAUUCGAAAUCCCAGCAAUCAUAAAGGUAAUUGUCCUUCCCCGUAUAUCUGAUUUUCGUGAGCGUUCUUCAAAGUGUAGGUCAGAAAGAAAACAAGGAAAAAUUAUCUCAUGCAUGUGUGCUAUCUGUGCAGGAGUCCUGGAUCUGUGAAACCAAUGGCGGAACCAGGAAUUGACAGGAGGAUAGGCGAAGUUAAAAGAGUGCAAGGUUCAAAAGAAUAGUAACAACCAAAUCCUUUAAAUAGUAAUGUCUUCCAUAAUUUAUCAAUACAAACAAAUUACAAUUAUUGCCGACGAGGUUUCAUAUCAUGAAAACGCCGCAUAAUAGGCUCAUUAUCAAUAAAAGCAAAUACAUAUCUCUCAAUGUAAACAAGCAUGCUAUCACUCAACCAUUGAUCUCCUAUUUGUUACGCAAUGGUGUUUUCACAAUUUUCAUAGCAGAAAAAGCUCUCUCCACCGAAGCGGUUGCAACUGGUAACAUCAAAGCCAAUGUAAGAAGCUUAUACACUAACAUAUAGCUUGCAUACCUCCCGAUCUUCACCAACUCCUUUGCAAGAUCACCAAUUCAUUUCAAUGAUGAAAACUCACUAUGCAUCUUCAUAUCGUGAAUGUAAUUGUCAAGUUGAAUUGGAAGAUUCAUGAGGUCCAUACAAUCAAAAUCUUGAGAAUAAAGUUGGGCUAGACGAACAAUUUUUGCUUUGUCAAAAUAUGCAAAAUUAUUCACUGGACUCAAACAUGCCAUACAAAGAAGCAAUUCGGUGUUUACCUCAUUGAAGCGAUCAUUCAAUUCCUUUAAUUGUGUAUCAAGGACUUGAAAAUAGAGGUCCACAUGAUAGUAAUGGAAGUUUAUGAGUCUUAGAGCUUUACGUCUUGAUUUUCCGGGUACAAAACGCAAAUCCUCCAUGUUAGGAACGACAAUAUCAUGCUCUUGACAAAACUUUUGUACAUCAUCAAGCAAGUCCCCAAAGUCAUCAUCUCUCAAGGAUUGUAGUCUUUGCUUGCAUACUUCCACUAACGCCAUCGCAUUCACAAUAUCUUGAUCUUUCUUUUGUAAUGCUUGUGAUAAUUCAUUUGUAAUUCCCAAUAUGAGUCUCAUAAAAAAAAGGUGAAACACAAAAUCAAAAGUUUGUAUGUCAUGGAAUAACUUACUUACUUCAUCAAAAUUGUCUUGGUUGGUAUCAUCCUUAAUCCAUUCAAGCACCUCCACCACAGCUUCAAACAUGACAAUAAUACUAACUAUAAUACCAUAAUGUGAGUUCCAACGUGUAUCACAAGGAUGCAUGAGACUAAUCUCUUGAUUUAACCCUUUACCCCUUUCAAGAUCACCAAUAUCAAGAGCUUUCUUAAUUUGUUCUAGUUGUUUCUCUCUAAAUGCGUCACGACGCUUACACGAUGAUCCAAUAGUAUUGACCAAAAUACUAGCAUUGUUGAAGAAAAUGGCGACACCCUCAAUUCCCUUUGCAACGGCUACAAGAGCUAGUUGAAGUUGGUGUGCAAAACAAUGAACAUAAAAUGCUUAAGGAUACUUGUUCAAAAUCUUUGCUUUAAGGCCAUUUAGUUCUCCUUUCAUAUUACUAGCUCCAACAUAGCCUUGUUCCCGUAACUUAGACAUACUCAAAUUUGUUGAAGCAAAUAAUCUCUCAAUGGUCUCUUCAAGCGAGCUACUAGUUGUAGAGGAGACAUGUUGCACACCAAAAAUCCUUCAUACUCAAAUUCUUGAUUGCCUCUUGAAGGUAACAUAGGUGACGGUAGUGGUAGUCAAUUCUACCGGUAUCAAGAAGAGCCUCGUCAAUUGAUAGUUUUGGAUUAUUCGACUCUGAUACACCUACUUACAUAUUAUUGCACAAAAAUUAAAUUUAGCUUUUUCCUCUAAAAAUAUAAAAAAAAAACAUGCAGUUUUAGUUAACACCAUUAUAAAUAUGUGAAACUUUUGCAAUUAAUCAAGGCUUAAAAGUACGUAUUACAUACCAUUCUCAGUAAUAUAAAUGAGUGGAUCAUUAUAUUUUUCCUUUGUGUAGAGCACAAGAUCGUGAAUUCCUUUUGGAUAUACAUAUAACCAAUCUGAAGCAGUCUGCAACACCAUUUCAAGAUAAUACGUAAAUGUUGGGGAAAAAAGCUAAUCCUCCAAAUGCAAAUAGCUCAAAAUGAUAAAUUUGAUGUAUACCUGUGGACCAAUAAGUAUUCCAUUAAGCUCAGCUGCCACAAUAUUUACAAACAUUAGAAUACAAUUGGUGUAAAUAUUAGAAUAUAAUUAAUGUAAUUAAGAGGUUAAACUAGGUCAAGAAGAACAAAGAACUGAAGCUAUUCAAAGUAAGUUUCCUUUGGCACUCACUUGGAAGAUCAGCUCGAGGAUCUGUUACGAAGCUUGCCUGUAGUGAAUUGUUCUUAGGUGUACUAGUUGUGUAUCUAGCAGUAUAAUAAUUUAUUCCAAGAAAAUCAAAUGAUCCGUUCAGCAACUUGGAUUGUUCUUUUGUGAAUUUUGGCAAUCUUUUUCCAACAAUUGAUCGCAUGCUGUGUGGAUAGUCACCACUUGUUAAAGGGUCCAAAAACCUACAAACAAGAAAAUUCCAAAUAUUAGCCUAAUUAUAGCAUUAUAGAUAAAUAGUACUGCUAGCUAGGUAGUAUCAAUGUUACAAGUCAUAAGUAAACAUGAUGUAAUUGGGUUUAUGUAUAAUUUAAUAAGACACUUGCCAUCCAAACAUAAAAUCCAAAGAUCGUAAGGCAGCAUCUUUAUCUUGCUUUGACUCCGAAGCAGGCUCAAACCAGUAUGACACCAAUGUUAUCCCUAUCAAGCCUUUCUGAGAUGCCUACACAAAAAUAUGAAUUUUGGUUGAAUAAAUAGGAGUUAUAGAAAAAGAUACAACCAUUAGAUUAUCUUACUAUUGAGAGUAUUCCCCCUUGUAUUACAACUCAAUAAUAAAGAUUCAUAUAGAAUUCUCGAUUAGGAGCCAAUAAUCUGACCCAAAAAAACAAAAUUAAAAAAAAUUAAAAAAAAAAGCAGUUAUUGAACCUGAUAUCUAUUCCUGUACAAUUCUACAGCUGCUCCAUGAGCAAGAAGAAUGUGGUGUGUCACCAAGUAUGGUUCAAUGGCUGAAUCUCCACCGGUGCAGUUUAGGUUUUGCCAAGAAGAGCAGCGUCCCGGUGCUAGAGUCCCAACAGCAUAACCCAUGCUACUAAAAGUAUAUGGCUCAUUUACUGUGAACCAGUGCUUGACUCGAUCACCAAAUUCCUUAUAACAAAGUUCAGCAUAGUCUUUAAAAUGAUAUCUGUAGAUACAAAUUUAUGUUACGUAUAUCAGUAUGUAUUUUAUCAAAUUAUCAACGAGAAAAUAAAUUUUGGUCACUUACACAAUACGAGGGCUUAAGAAACCACCAUAUUCAUCUUCUAAAGCUUGGGGAACAUCCCAAUGAAAGAGUGUUACAAACGGCUUUAAACCUAUAAUACAUGAUCAGUAAAAUCAAAUUAAAAGUCUGAUUGAAUGAUGUUCUAAAAAUUCAUGUAAUAAUUGUUUAAGGUAGGAUGAUUAACCAUUGCGUAGGAGUUCAUUGAUGAGAUUGUUGUAAUAAUCAAUUCCUUUCCUGUUAACGCCACCACUUAACGUUCCAUCUAAUUAGAACAAAAAUAACAAGAAAAAAAAAGGGUUACCCAGUAGAUAACUCGAUCACAUUACUUUAGUUAAAAGUAUAUAAAGAGAAUAAUUCUCUUGUAGGCAAAAUAAUUCUUAUGCACAAUAUUGUCAAUGGUCCCAACCAAAAAACGAGAACGUGGAGCAACUUACUUGGUAAUAAUCUGGACCAUGAUAUAGAUAAUAUGUAAGCAUCCAAAUUCAUAUCCUUCAUAAUCCCCACAUCUUCCUAGAAUGACAAAAGUUUAAGAGUAAAUUGUAGCUAUGGUCCCUUAACUUUAACUCAAUUGGAGCAAUGGUCCUUCAACUAAAAAUCCAUUACCUUUGGUCCCUCAACUUAUCAAAACGUGCAGUUAUGGUCCCUCAACUAAAAAUCCAUUACCAUUGGUCCCUGAACUUUAAUUCAAGUGGAGAAAUGGUCCUUUAACUUUAAUCCAAUUGUAGCAAUGGUCCUUACAAUAUAACUCGUUUUGACAAAUUUUUUGACAUAGUUGACGAAAAGAACCAUAAUUAUACACUUUGAUGAGUUGAGGGACCCUAAUUAUAUAAAUGGUCAUUCCAACAUAGCUUAUUUUGACAAAAUUUUGACAAAAUUGAUGAAAAGGACUAUAGCUACACAUUUUGAUAAGUUGAGGGACCAAUGGUAAUGGAUUUUUAGUUGAGGGACCAUUGCUCCAAUUUGAUUAAAGUUGAGGGACCAUUUGUACAAUUUACUCAAAGUUUAAAAUUAAAUAUUGAGGAUCUCAUUAUAUAUUGUUUUUUUUUUUUGUAAAGGCUCCAAUUUAAUAUGUUAACAUGUGCCCUUCAAGUAUAAAGUGUCAAGAGACAAGGUUAUGAGGUUUUAGACCUUAUAGCGGUGACAUUGAUCAAUAGCGACGUUUCAGUUACUGCCAUCAGUGAUUUUUUCUGCAGUUAUUCAAAAACAUAAUGGUGAAAUCCAUAUCAUGUGCAAAGUACUUUAUAUGCGUGCGCACCGAUGAAGUAUUACAUAUAUUGUACAUAUCACAUGACCACGUACUAUUGGUCUCCCAACAAAGUGCAUGGCUAUUAGAGAGGUUGGAGUUUACUUGUCCUCACGAAGAAAAGAAUGAGGUGCUAUUUCUACUCCUUUGAAAUGAAGUAGCAAAAGUUUUCAUAUUACCAAUUGAUUAAAUCACAGACCUGGAUGUUUGUGGGUGAAGGAAUCCCAUAUGCUUGGUCCUCUUCCAUCUUCUUUUACUGCACCUUCGUACUGAAAUACACACACAUGCAUAUACGUAAGAGUACUACUACACACGCAAGGAAGAUGACAACAUUAUAAUUCAUGCAUGGAUGCUAACUGCAUGUAUAAAAUACACCAAAAAUAUGGUAAAUAAAGACAGAAGAUAUAUAUAUAUAUACUGACCUGGUAAGAUGCGGAACCUGUGCCAAAUAUGAACCCUGAUUCAAAACUGCUGCGAUUGAGAAAUUCGCAAUGAACAGGUGGAUCUGUAUUAGUUGCUUUGCCAUUUGUCAAUGCAAAGCCAAUGAGUAGCAGCACACCAAAGAGCAAAGAUCAUGAAUAUUUCAUUGCCGUAACUUGGGAGUUUUGAUAUCGAUCGAGAUAAUUAAGUUAUCUCCUCCGGGAAUAUUGCAUGGGGUUUAUAUAGAGAAAGGGAGGAAGGGAUAUGGUGUCUACGUACUAGCUCAUGAGAAUAGUAAAGGGUUAAAAUUUGUAAACAAAAUUGGCCUUGAAAGUCCUAGUUUAAAGACCAAGUCAUGGUAUGUUUCAAAAAAAAAAAAAAAAAGACCAAGUCAUGGUCUGUAGUUUAAAAGAAAGCACGUUCCAUGUUUCCAAAAGUUGCGUAUAUAUGCACGUAAAAGAACGGAUGAUCCUUGCGUUCCACCUGAGGAAUGCACAUAUUCCACAAAUUUUAUAUUGUGAUCGUUUAGUUUCUUAAUCUUUAUUUGAAAAUCAUCUAAACAAAAAGAAUUAUUUGAAUCUAAGAUAGUUUAGUCAUUUAAAUAUAUGAACCCAAUCGACAUUGUUGAUACUAAGUAAAAGACUUAUAUUGAACUAUUCAUUUUAUUGAUAUAUUUGGAUAACUAAACAGUCUUCAAUUUGAAUAGUUUUUGUAUAUAAGAUAUUCAAAUUAAGAUUAAAAAAUUAAUGACUUAUUCAAACAGUAGAAAACUACUUGACCCAGGAAAAAAGUAGAAAUUUGUGACCAGAAUUCUUUACGUAAGUACAUAACCGAUAAAGAUGAAGAAUUUAAUCUUGAUCUUUUUGUUCUUGUUAGAGUUUUAGUAUUGAAUCGGUAAACCCAGUGGUUUGUGAAAUUGUCUUUCCACUCUAAUUAAGAAGGCAUCGAAAUAGCUAGGUUCUCAAGUUGGCUAUUUUGCUCCUAAAGAUUGUGAAAGGAUUCCAUUGGGGUGGCUUUUUCGAAGGUUUGGACACCUUCAAAGUAUAGUACUAGUACAAAAAAUACUUUGCACGACGUAGGACCGUCGUCGCGCAAAGUCAAAAUACGUCGCCCAACAAUUAGCCAAACGAACCUUCGUCGCGCAAGAACUGUCGCUCGAAGGCAGUGAAGGAAGGGUUUGCGCGACGUAGGUAGGCACUGCGUCGCGCAAAGCUACUUUGAGCGACGCAGGUCCUACGUCGCGCAAAGAUACUUUGCGAGAUGCGGUGCCUACCUACGUCGCUCAAAGUAGCUUUGCGCGACGUAGGAUCUACGUCGCGCAAAUAUACUUUGCGCGACGCAGUGUCUACUUACGUCGCGCAAAGUUUUUUUUUUUUUGUCAUUUAUAUUUUUUAAUUUAAUUUUUAAUAAAUAUUAUAAUUAAAUUCUAAAAAAUAAUUAAUAAACCAAGAAAAAGUAAUUAAUUAUAGAAUAUAUGAAAAUGUACGUUUGUCCAAACAAAAAAAUAAAAAACUACAAGUCUUCUAAGUUUAAUACAUCAUACUACUCGGUAUCGUUUGGGAAAAAUGACUGGGAAGUCGAAGGUGGAGCAACAUUAGGUGCUGGCAUCGUCGGGAUUUGGAGGCCGGACAUCGCUAAGGCCUGAACAAUCAUAUUCAUCCUCUCGUCCUGGGCCCUAAUGUGGUCGCCCUGGGCCGCAACCUGACCUCUUAGGGUUGUCACCUCCUCCUUCAAGGAAUUGACCUCUCCUAUGGACAAUCUGGAAGAAGAGGCACCCGUUUCACGAACCCCCGCCUUCCCCGUACACCGACAACCUUACCAUGACGACGGCCGAACUUCUGAUCCAGGACCUCAGUCACGAUCUGAACAUCUGCAUCCUUGGGUACAAUGACGUCCUCGAUCGGGGUCUCUAGGGGAAGCUGCGAUGUUGCUUCUUGGAGAAUAGCAGUGCUCUUUUCCACCAUAUCACCCUGUAAUAAUAAAGAAGAAACAUAUAAUGUUUAAUAACAAAAUAUAAAUAAUAUUUGAACGAUUCAUAAAAAUAAGAAAAAUAACAAUUACAUAUACUUACAUAAAGCUGGUCACUGUUCUCAUUGUUGGGAUGAACGUAAACAUGCUUGAACAGGUCAAUCUGUGGGAACUUAGAACCCUCCUAAAGAAAAAAAAACAUUAAGAAAAUUUUAUUAAUCAAUAAUAUAAAAUAAAUUGUAUAAAAUUUCAAAAUUAAUAUACUUUUACCUCACGUCGUGCCUCAACCCUAUACGAAAAGGGCUUCGAACCAGAAUGGUGGAGAAGUGUCUUUGAGUCCCGAGCUUUCUUGCCAACAGCAGAUUUCUUCUGUUAAACAUACAAUAUAUAUGUUAGUGCGACUAUUUGAAAGAAAUUAUUAAAAAAAGCUUAAAUAAAAUAACAAAAACAAUAAAUUAUUAUUAAAGUAUUAUGUACAUACCAAAAAUUUUGGAUCCGUAAAAUGUGUGCAGAGCCAUUCCCAAUCCUCUCGCCGCUCCUUAUACUCGAGUGGGCAACCCUGUAGGCGAGCAAUCUCCGGAGAUUCCCAUAGCUGAAAAUGCUUGUGAAGAGCGCUCUUCCAAUCUUUGUACCGGCUUGCUAAGGUCUCCUCUAAGUAGGCAUUGACCUCAGGGGAUAUGUCCUCCAUUUCAAAAACGACCUACAAAUAUGAAAAACAAAAUGACAAACAAAAUGACCAUGUAUAAGAAUAAUUGACAACUAGUUUAUAAGAUAUUGAUAAAGUUUGUCGGUUUACAAUAAUAACUAGAAUCUUAAUUUGUUAGGAAGCAAACAAUAUAAUGUUUAUAUUCGGAAAGCAGUGUCAAACCUCAGCUUCACACAAGUGUCAAACCUUUAAUGUUCAAACCAAAAGGUUAACACUCAAAUUAUUUAUCAAAUUCCUUUCCUUAGCACAAUUUCUCAACAAAGGAUUUAACUCGACUAUUUAAGGCUGCUUUCGUAGUUCACUUUAAUAAAUAAAACCAGGACAACAACUAAAAACAAUUCACUAUCAAAUUGAGGCAAAGUCAAGAACCAUACAUAGGACUCGCUCGGUAAAAGAUCGAUUACUUGAUUAGUAUAGCCAGUCCCAAGAAGCACUUAAUGAUUAAAACAAAACAGCAUGUAUAGGCAUAAUGUUUAGGUAUCAUGAUGCUGCUCAACCGGUGGAUACUAUGGAUCAGGUUAACUGAUGCACAACACAAGCAAAGCAAUGUACUAGAGACGGCAUGCAUACUCACCUAAACACUAUCAUAAAUCAUUUAGCAAGGACGUAGACCAAAACUAAAAACCCAUAAAUAUGCAUCAGAUAAGAUAGUAAUCCUUCCACCUAACCAACAUAAUCAUUAUUUAACAAUGGUUCACGGAAUUAUUUUUCAAUUUCCUUCCCAGGAAGCAUUCAGACAACAAAGAACAGUGCCGCAAAUCAUUGAAAUUAACCAAAACUAAAUGACCACACCUGCUCCCAAUUAUGAACAGAAGAAGAGUGUGCAAAAUACAUGACCAAAUUAUUCAUCACAACAACACUCGGCUAUCAGGUGCAAAACAAUGAAAUGCACCUGAUUUCUCUUUCCCUCCUACAUUUUCUUAGCAACCAAACAGAAAUUGAGAGAAAGAUCUUGACUUUACUAAUCAAGAUGAUGGCCCUGCACUAGUUUAAGCAGAGAAAGAUGUUGACUUUGCUAAAAAUUAAAAUACUAACCUCCAAAUUGUCUCACACCAAGGUCCUCGUCUCCUCAGGAAUUUUUGCCCAACUCUCCCACCGCAUAGGACAAAAAUUCCUAAUAAUAAAACCACAGCAAUUAACGACGCUGUUAUGCUGCUGUGAGGUAACCGCUCCACGAUGUCGCUCAUCAUACGCAAUCUUGAUCAAGGAGGCAGACAUACGUACAAGUUGUAGCUCAUUCAACAUUCGAUUGGGCCCCCUGGUGUUUUUUUUAGCUGCCCAAAAAAACUUAAAUGGUAAAAACCCUAAGCUUAAAUUUGUACAGAAAAUUUGGCAAAACCUCCCCUAAUCAUAAAAGUACCUUAAAACAGUAAUUCACAACCCGCAACACAUUUUCACAAUCAUAAAAGUAAUAGUUUUGAAAUGAAACAAAAAAUGCAAAAUAAUGAGAAUUAGAAAAAAACUACCUGGUUGGGAGGCCCCAUCGUCGACUCUGGAGGACGAGGAAGUGUGAUCAGAAGGCUCCGGCUCACGGCGGCGCCGGUGAGGCCGCCGUACACUGAGGGGCUCAACUGACACUGAUGACGUUGAUGAUACGGGCACCUGGGACAUUGUAGGAGUAGCCUCCGUAAGGGGUGUAGGCUCCCCAAUCAAUGGAGCACUCACGCCUGAAGCACUAGAUGCUGAUAAUGCAGGAGUUGCAUUGGACACACUUCGACGACGAGUGAUCAACUGCAACAUCUAUACACUUUAUGAACCAUAAAAAUAUAACAUUAGAAACUAAUCCUUUCUUGCAUUUGAAACUAAUAAAAUAGCAACCAAAAUAAUAUAAGUAAUUAGAGCAAUAAUAUCAAUACAAGAAUAUUUAAACUAAUCCUUUCUUGCAUCUGAACAAACCCUAAAAGAGAAUCACUAUAGAAAGAUCAAAUUAGUUAAACCGUGGCAGUAUGUGUAUUUUGUGAGCAAAAAUGAUAGAUUUUUUCACUGAUUUGUUCCACCUCAUGAAAGGUUUAGAAUAAACUUUACAUGGGAUAUGUGGGUUAUAAUGCAACUGCUCAAAAGUACAGUAUUUAAAUGGUCGGGUCCUGCACUGCUCAAGUCUUUUGAAGUAAAAUUCUCAUCUAAGGUAAUACCGUAAUAGCUCGAGGCAGUGGGUUAAGCAAUCAGGCAUAUCAUAUAUAAGUAUGUGCAUCAAAUGUUUUCUAGUUUCAAUCCCCUGUGAAAAGUUAACACUUCCUACAAAUCUGGAAAAGCCAUAUGCAGGGCUCAUUCUUCAGAACAAGAAUACAGGUUUUUCACAACAACUAUCUAAAAGAACAAGAUUUUCCAGAAUACAUCUAACAUGCAUGAAUACUAUAUGCAAGUCAAUGCCAAUUAAAUAAGCAAAAGGAAAAUUUCUAAAAUGCAAAAUAAAAAUUAACAACAUAAAAUAAGAUAUCUUUUACGAGAAUAAAAUGUUACAAGUUCUUACGUUCUGCAAUAAACUAGCCGAAGAACAAAGUGCGAUAUUAAGUCCUUGUUGACGACCUCAGAUGCCUGAGGAUGCCUCAUAUUUGUCUUCCAUAGUUCUAUUGCCUGUAAAAUGCCAAAAUGUUAAUGCUAUGAGGUUGGUGAAGCCAUGUGACCCUAAUUUAUUUUCUCUUUUUUUUUAUACAAAAAAUUAUACAAAUGGUACAGUUUCAACUGUACAUGUUUAACCUCGGUGUUUUUCAAUUUCAGUUUUACUUCUACCAUCCAUUAAUUUUCCUUUCCAAAAUGAUUUGAAAAAUAAAUCUAUAGCUACUAACGGUUUAUAUGCUUGAUGCUGUUAGACCCUGCAAUCUAAAAAUUUAUGUAAAUGCAGAGGUUUGUCUGAAGGAGAGGCGAUCGAAGAAAUCCAGAAAUCCUUCCAUGGCAUACUUAGUUGUACACCCAUGGCAUGUGUGUUGUAUGCUAGAUGCCCUCUCUCUUUUAACAACACACAAUAGCUUAUGCAAAUGCGCAGAGGACUUCAACAUGUUUCAUUUAAAAUAAAUUUACAUUUUGUAGCAAAUACAUAUGGCGAAAUAGUCCAUAAGUAAUCAUAAUGGCAACCAAAUACAAUAGUUCAAAAACUUCAAUGCAAAUAUAAAUUGCAGAAAAAAAAAACUUGAAUUUCCAAACCCACAAAAUAAAAAAUUCAACCAGAUUAUGUGUAAGAAGAAAUACCAAGAACUGAGAGCUGCAGGCUACCAAAAUGCUCAUGAUCUUGUUUGUGCUGAUGAACUAAAAAACUUGAAAUCAAAUUUACAUAGGUAGAAGUUGAGAUUCCAAUAUGAGACAGAACAAUCCAAAUGAAGAUAAGGCGCCUAAUAUGAAAUCAGGGCUCGAAAAUAAAAUUAAAAUUUUUGGGGCAGGUAAAAAACUAAUCAUUGAUUAAUUAAGACAAAUGACUGAAAUUGUCAACUUUUCAAAUUACGUAUCCUUAGUAAAAAAAAGCGCACACACCUUAAAAGGCUCAUUAUUUGUUCUGAAGCUAAUGCCUGGAACAAACUUCAGCCAAACUGGAAACCCCCUAAAGAAAAUAGAAACAUUAAAAUAGAAAUUCAUUGACGAAACAAAAAACUGCCGAGGAAAAUGAUCAUUCCCAAAAUUCCAUUAUGAACAAAUAUAUGGACCAAUCUUAAGAUGAAUAUAGAGCCCUGCCUUGUAAACCAUCUUUGAGCCAACCAAUUACAAAUCUAAAUAAGAGAUGGCAGAAAAGGAAUAUGCUGGGCAAAUGCUAAACUCAUAUUCCCUCAAAGAUCUGAACCCUCUCUGGUAAAGUGCAUCAAGAAUCAAAUUUAAUAGUUUUUGUUUGAUUCCGAUAUCCAGAAGAGAAAGGGAAACCAGGCCAACCGAAACUGAAAUGUGGAUCUAUACUAAAAUCAACUGCAAAAGCAUUUCGAUUAUCCCAUCUCCCAAACAGUCACACUCCAGCAUGAAAAUAAUCAAUAUUUUCAGCAUUUUUUACCUUAAUAAGAAAUUUACAAGCUAAUCUGAAAAGUACAAGACCGUAUGCCAAUCUCAUUCAGCCCCAUCCCAAAUAUGUGGUUCUUUAAUUUCACACCCUAAACGGUGAACGGUGCAGACUUUUGGUGUAAUCUCAACAGACCCACAUAACCUCAAACCCUCACAAAUCCGAAACCCUAUCAAAUCAGAACCAACAUCCAAUUUUAUCUGGAGAUUUCGACAAAGUACUCAGAAAUCAACAUGCAAUUUGACCCUAUACCCUAAAUAACAAAAACCCUUCGAAAAUGAGAAACCUUUACCUUGAUUUUAGGACCCUAUGUCGCGUCGGCUUCGAGAUUUGGGGGUUGAAGAGGAGAGAGAGGUAUAUGGGAAAGAAAGAGCGAGAGGGAGAGAUGCAGGUCUACGUACGGGAAAGAAAGAGCGAGUGGGAAGAGAGAGGUAUACGGGAAGAGCGAGAUUUGGGGGUUCAAAAGGUUGCCAAACUUGGAGAAUUGAAAACAAGCGCCUAUUUUUCACUAUUGGAGCGCCAAAAUUAUCACAUCAGGCGCGACAUAGGUAUACAAAUUGAGGUUGCGCAAAGUAGUUUUGCGCAUCGACUACAUUAAGACUUCGCGCAAGGUUUUUUUUUUUUUUUUUUUUUAAUAUUAUAAAAAUUACUAUUUACUUCUUUCAAAUUCAAAUUUAUUUUACAUAAACCCCACGAUAAUAUAUUUUUCUAACAAAAACUCACAAUAAUUUUUUUUUUACAUAUAUAUCAUUAAAUUUCUUAAGUGUUAUAAGUACAAAAUAAAUAAAUUAAAAUCAACUUAGUAAAUAUAUAUACCAUUGAACUUGAUGGGAAACGCAUUGUACGAAACUAAUUUCAACUAUCCAACCGUCAAACUUGUUUGUAUAUGCUUCAAGAUCGCAGACGCCAAAAAUUGCAAAAAACAAACAUUCAGAGAUUAUGUAACGGGACAAAACUUUUUUACGGUUAUAAACGAAAAAGCACGAUUUUUCUUUACAAGUUUAUAUUAAUCAUCAUCCGAACUACAAUAAUAAUUCUCGCUAUCCUCAUUACUAUCAUUUCCGGAUUCCCAUUCGUCUUCAUCUUCGUUUGCCUCUUCUGGUGCAUUGUAUUGAGGUAGAUCACCAAGGUCAAUUGAUAUUUCGAAUUCAGGAAAUCCAACUACGUCAAACGGUUCUUGGACAAUAUUAGUAUCCCGGAGUGUUUCUUCACCAAUUUCUAUCGAAGAUGAUAACUGUUGGUCAGCGACGUUAUUGUAAUUGUCAUCAUGAUCUUGUUCUGGAAUAUCAUAUAGCCCUCUUCGAUCAAUCUUUUGAACAACUUUCCAACCAUUGCCAGCUUUAGGGUCGUCUAGAUAGAAUAUUUGUUUCGCCAUUGUUGCCAAAAUGUAUGGGUCUUCAUCGUACCAAUGUCUCAUAGUGUUUACUGAUAGUAAACCAUGGUCUCGCUUAACACUCGUUCGGUUAUGUGGGUUUGUAUCAAACCAAAGACACUUAAACAGUAUCACUUGACACCUGUCUUUGUAAAGCAAUUGUACUACACUAGUUAGUUUGCCAUAAAAAAUCAAUGUCUUCACUGUCACCCCGCACCCGGGGACAUGGACACCACUAUUUUGAGUAGACAACUUGUCAUCACGUGUUGCCCCCAAGAACUUGAUCCUGUUGACAUGACAACCUGAGAACAAUUCAACGUGAAGCGGUCCUCUCGCCAAGUUAUAUAAUUCUCCAUCGUAAGAGGGUGAAUUCAAUUCCUUCAAUUUGUUCAUCUAAUAUAACAUAUACAAAAAGUUAACUUGUUAGUAUAACCAAAUUUAAAGACGGGCAUGAACAAGUUGGAAAAUAUGCUCAAUUCAAACCACAUACAACUUACAUGUGCGUGAAACCACGAAGGAAACAAGUCACGGUGCUUCUUGGCAUAUAAAUGUGAAGGAUGUUCCGGCUUCAUCAAUUGUUCAUGCUCUUCAAGGUAUGGCAAAGCCUCGUCACAAUUGUUGAGUAUGAACCAAUGCGCUACCUCCAUGUCUUUUUUGGUAAACAAUUCGUCUUUUACAUGAUCGCCGAAUGGUCGCGCAAUUUGGGCAAAAACAGACAGUUUCUCUUUUCUGACACCACCGUCAUUAUUGCUUUGAGAACGAUUGAAAGCUGUCUCAACAUCUUCAAGAUACAUUGCACAAAAAGUAAGUGACUCAUAUGCGACCCAUGCCUCCACAAGUGAUCCUUCGGGCUUUGCCUUGUUUCGAACAGACUUUUUCAACUCACCAAGAUAUCUGCACAAAUAAAAGGUAUGCUACAAAUUAUUCAAAGCGUUCGUUGAUCAUGAAUAUGUUAUAUAUAUAUAUAUAGACGCUUAAUUAAGUACUUUUCUAUUGGAUACAUCCAUCGACAGUUCACUGGUCCGACAAGCAAUGCCUUAUCUGGCAAGUGAAUCAUCACGUGAAUCAUACUUGUAAAAAACACUGGGGGCAAUAUCUGUUCGAACUUGCAUAAGAUGUUCACAAUGUCGUCCUGCAAUUGUUUAACAUCUGACUUCCGCAAACACCUUGCAGUCAACUGCGAAAAAAAUCUCGACAACAACACGAUUGGUUUCACCACAUCAAGAGGCAAUAAGUGUCGAAUACCAACUGGAAGAAGGCGUUGGAGUAUCACAUGACAGUCAUGACUCUUCAUGUUUUGAAAUUUACACCCAUUCACGUUCACACAACGCGAGAUAUUGGAAGCAUACCCAUCUGGAAACUUUACAGAAGAAAUAAAGUUGAAAAACUCUUUCUUCCCAUUCGGCUUAACUGUAAAAAAAGGAUGGCCUUUCUUCAACGUACCACCGACAUUCUUCAUCCACAAAGAUGACCUAACGCCCAUUCGUUCCAAAUCGAGGCGAGCUUCGAUCGUGUCUUUUGGUUUUCUUUCAAUGUCUAGAAUUGUCCCGACCAAAGUGUCAAACACAUUUUUCUCAAUAUGCAUAACAUCGAGGUUGUGUCUCAAUUUUAACUUUGACCAGUAUGGAAGCUCAAAUAACAUACUUUUGUGCGUCCAGUUCAGAUGUGUAGUUGGUCUGGGGUUACUGACCCCUUUGCCGAAAUGACCAAAUUCCAAACGGUUUAACUGAUCCAAAAUCUCAUCUCCGGACCAUUCUCUUGGUCUUAGCCGAGUCUCUUUUGUGCCGUCGAAGGCUUUAUCGUUCUGACGCCACUCGUUGUCCCAAGGGAGCCAUCUACGAUGACCAAGAUAACAAACUUUUCUUGCAUGCCAAGAUGAUGUUACGUUCUCCUUGCAUAUUGGACAUGCCAAAUAACCCUUAGUCAUCCACCCAGAAACCAUUGCAUAUGCAGGAAAAUCGUUUAUUGUCCACAUCACUGCCGCUCGCAUGGUGAACAUCUACCCAGUAUAUUUAUCGUAUGUACGAACACUGUUUUCCCAUAAAUCUUUUAGCUCAUCAACCAACGGCCGCAAAUAAACAUCAAUGGACUUUCCUGGAUCUUCGUUAAUUAAUAGAGUCAACAUCAUGUAUUCUUUUUUCAUGCACUUCCAAGGUAGCAAAUUAUAAGGAAACACGACGACCGGCCAAGUGCUGUGCUUUAGGUUUAACACCCCGAACGGAUUAAAUCCAUCGGUGGCAAGUCCCAAUCUGACGUUGCGCGGGUCAGCUGCAAAAUCAGGGUACAUCCGAUCGAAUUCUUUCCAUGCCUCUCCAUCUGCAGGAUGCCUCAUAACAUCGUCAUUUACCUGUCCUUCUUUUUGCCAUUUCAUGUCGGUUGCGGUAUGCAUUGACAUGUACAAUCGUUGCAGUCUAGGCUUCAAUGGAAGAUAGCACAUUACUUUUUGUGGAAUCUUGGUGUUUCUAUUCUGUGAUGUCAUUUUAAACCUCUGCUCAUUGCAGACAGGGCAUUUAUCCAACGCUUUGUUCUCCUUAUAGAACAAUAUACAAUUAUUUACACAUGCGUGAAUUUUUUCAAAAAUUGGAAUUGGAGAUAUAACUAAUUAAACUAUAUGAAAUUGGAUGCCAUUGAAAAUCUACACCGUUGCUGGCAUUCAUUCAUUUUAUUCAAAAAUUGGAAUUAAGUACAAUUGAAGCAAAUUAUGAGACAGAUUAGGACAUGAAAACUAUUGUCUUGUCACCUUAUUCCUCCGGUCAGGGCCCUAUCCCAUUCAAGAAUGCACAGUUAUGUGCCGUAAUUUACGAUUCCAAUGGAUUAAAUUUCGACGUGGGCUAAUAUCGGCAGCAUCUCCUUACAGUUCUUCAAGUGCACGUCGUAGAUACAUAAUAUCCACCGUGUACUCAAAGAACAUUAGGAAAUGUUACCAAAAUUUCCACUAUCGAAACCUAAUCCGUGGAGUGCAAACUACAACACAUAACUAGGGCAUUCCCAAACUGUCCAAAAAAUGGGACAAUUCAAGAAUUAAUUGGACCGCAGUCAUGCUUUUGCAUCCAUGCACGAAAUCCAACUAAUUCUCAAACAGGAAACUAAGCUUUUCCUGAGAAAAGGGUACGAAGUUAAGUAGUAUUAACUUCGUACAACACAAAACAAUUUUGUAGGUGAUGUACAAAAAUAUGUGCAUACAAAUAAACUAAAUCACAAUAAUUACUAAAACUAACUAAAAUAGAUAAAAUUAAUAAAAAUUAAUUUAGUGAAGAAAAUAAAGUGAUUUAUGUACACUGUGACAUCUCAAAUGUAGUUAAAUUUCUCUUAGACUUCAUUUUAAUAUAAAGUGAUUUAUGCACCCUUUAUUUCACUUUACGCAUCUAUCUCUUAAUUUAGUCCUUAGUUCUCCUUAGUUCUCCUUAGUUCUCCUUUAUUAGUUCUCCUCUUAUAUGAGAUACAAUAGCCAUGCCUCUGUCAUCACCAAUCAGAGUAAAUAAUGACAGUGAAAAAGUUAAUUACAAAAGGCAGUAACAAGUGAAAAGAAACAAACUAAUACCAUAAGAACAAACAGAACCAAUUACAAAGUCCUAAUCAAAUUGUUUCCUAGUUUAAUUUUUGUUAAGAGUUUUUAACCGGUUUUAUCUGUGCAGAUAUUCCUAAUUUGAUGAUCAACUGCAAGAGGGAAGUAAAAAACAGAUGUGCUCAGUGGCUGUUGAAUGAUUAAAGAGUAAGACGAAUAUCUGCAAUCGUUUGAAAAACGGCUUGGAUAAGAAACAGAUUAGUCUUAAACAUGCACUUACUAUUUUCCUAACAGUAAAGGUUUUGCACGAUUCUAAUCUCAAAUUGUGAAGAUUGGAUAAUAGUGUGAGUUAUAGGAUACAAUGGUCGACAAACAAUGUUUAUCCCCUGAUUCUUUAUGGUUUCAAUUGAUUCCUUGUAUCCACUCAAUUCGAAUUCAUAAAACUAAUGUUUUUGGUCUUUCUAUUAAUUCAACGUUAUUGUAAUAUAUCCAAAUCCUUUCUUUUAAAUCAUUCCAUCCACAUAAGCUCGAAUCCAUGGAAAACAUUAAUAUCCUUCAUUAAGUAUACCUUAUCAGGGUUUAGUAGAACUUUGAUGCCAGGAACACCUUUCUCCAAACCAUUUUUGACCUGAUCAGCUCUUACCUUGAAUGACUUGCAUUGCUUGCUAGAGAAAAGAGCCAAAUCAGUCAAUAAGGAUAAUAAAAGAACUGCAAGUACACAAAGAUCUUGCUAUUGCAGGGGGAAUGGGGAAGGAAAACUUACACAAUAAAAACCAAGGACUAAACGCUUAAGAAACGUACCCUUUUUCAAUGAAUCAUAACUCAAGGUUCAUGGCAUUCAUAUAAUCAGUGAAGAAAGCAAAGCUUGUAUCUUUACCUGAGUCGAAGUCUCCUGAAACAAUACCCUCUUUCAAUGAAUCAUACGCAACAUUCUGCAAAACCAAAUUACUUCUAAACUUCAAACCAUAAAGUAAUGCCUUAAGGAAAAUUAAAGUUUCAAGCUUCCAUUUGGCUGGCAACUUUAAACAGAGUUAAUAGAGCUAAAUAAAUACCUGGCCGAAAUGAAGAAAGCUGUGAUUGUAGAGAUUGUAAGUGACAUUUCCAAAUUUAACAGCACGAGAGAACUCGGGAGGCACCGGCUCACUUGAAACAAAUGUCACCUAAAAUAAAAUUGCACUGAACAUUAUCAGACAACCAAAAAUUAAAAACUUCAAAUUGCUAACUGCUUGAACCAUGCACAACUCUCCCAACUCUUUUCUCUGUUAUUUUUUUCAGUAAGUUAGAAAAAACACCUCAAGAGUUUAACUAGAGUUAAAAAACAACUCAGCAAGCCACUUUUCGUUUUCUAACUAAUUCUUACUUGCGAAAUUCCCUUGUUGUUAUUCACCCAUUCAUCGUCAGCCGGAUUUUCCUCUAAAAGCAUUGUACUUGAAGCAUUUUUCUCUAAAAUGUACUAUUAUCAAGGACUAUUAAGUGAAAAGACCUAAACUUUUUAGUGCUUGUGGAUGAAGAGAUACCUAAUCAUAUUUCCCAAUACAACACCAAUUCCCGAUAACAGAUAGAAGUCACCUAACCUGAGCAGAAGCUCCACCAAGUUCAAUUAUCCCAGUUGUCUGCAUUGGAUCACCACCCAGAGUCCCAAGUGCGUGGUUUGCAACAACCCAAGCAUAUAAUCCUUCAUCAGAUCCUACAUCAACCAGAAUUUUCAGCAAUACGAAUUUGAAGACUAACUCCGAAAGUAAAAAUCUACGAACUUGAAGUUAACAUAAAACUAACUAAGAACAUCAUUGCAAACAAUCUUAUAAAAAAAGAAGAAAAGUUUGCGACUUUAACUAAUGUGGGAUUUGGGGAGAGCAAGACAUACAAAAUAAUAACACUGUUUCUAAUGAUUACAGAUUUAGGCAUUAUGGCUAUUCCUAGUAAUUCAAACUUCAAACCUGAUCUGGUAGACGGUUUUGAAGAGAGAGAUGGGCGAUGGAGGUAGCUGCUGCAACUGGGUAUGCAGUUUCUGCCUCCCAAACUGAUCAAAUGAAAAGAAAAAAAAGUUGGUGACUUUGCGCGACGCAUGCCCACCUACGUCGCGCAAAGGUGGGAAAAAGCGGUAAAUUCUUAGGGUUUGGCGCCAAAAGUUUGCGUGACGAAGGACUACGUCGCGCAAAGCCGUUUUGCGCGACGUACGUACACCUACGUCAGGAAAACGGCUUUGCGCGACGUAGUUUUAUGCAUCGCGCAAGUUUUCGUCGCGCAAACAUGUUUUUGUACUAGUAGUCACACAUUCUUCUUGCUAGUACAAGAAUGAGAAUAGUAAAGGGUUAAAAUUUGAAAACAAAAUUGGCUUUGAAAGUCCUAGUUUAAAGUCCAAGUCAUGGUCUGUAAUUUAAAAGAAAGCACGUUUCAAGUACCCAAAAGUUGUGUACGUACGUUAAAGAAUGGAUAAGGCUUGCGUUCCACCUAUGAGGAAUGAACAUAUUCUACAAAUUUUAUAUUGUCAUCGUUCGGUUUCAUAAUCUUUAUUUGAAGAUCAUCAAAACAAAAACAAUUAUUUGAAUCUGAGAUCGUUUAGUCAUUUAAAUAUAUGAACCCAAUCGACAGUGUAGACACUAAGUAAAAGAUUUAUAACGAACUAUUUUUAUUGAUACAUUUGGAUGACUAAGCAGUCUUCAAUUGGAAUAGUUUUUUGUAUAUAUGAUAUUCAAAUUAAGAUUAAGAAAUUAAUAACUGAUACUACAAAAAUACUUUAUUUAUAAAAAAAAAAAAUAUUCCUUGAGUUGAAAAGUAAGAUAAUGUACACAACAGUUCGAUGGAUCUCAUCUUAAUUUGAAAUGAUCAAUCCUUGAGUUACCCUUGAGUUUUCCAGCAAAAGAAAAUGUUUUAUGUAUUCGGAAACAAAGAGUCAUUUAUUUGCAUGUUUAUAUUAUGUCUGUCCAACUGUUGAAGGGCCUAACUUUUGAAGUUGAAUAUGGACGAUUAGCUACAGAGACUUAUUCAAACUAUAGAAAACUAUUUGACACCACAAAAAAGUAGAAAUUUAUGACUAGAAUUCUUUACGUAAGUACAUAAUCGAUAAAGAUGAAGAAUUUAAUCUUGAUCUUUUACUUCUUGUUAGAGUUUUAAUGUUGAAUCCGUGAACCCAGUGGUUUUGUGAAAUUGUUUUUCCACGCAAAUUAAGAAGGCAUCGAAAUAGCUAGGUUCUCAAAUUGGCUAUUUCGCUCCUAAAGAUUGUGAAAGGAUACCAUUGGGGUGGCUUCUUCUUGGUAGUACAAGAAAUUGAUUAGCUGUUUCAAAAAACUGGUUUUUUAUUAGCUUACAUCUAUUUAUUUUGAUUUAAUAUUUUUUUACAAUUCAAAAACACAAAAUUUUGACCCCCCCCCUCUAAUUUUUCUAAUUUUUUUUUCUUUAUUUGAAUUUUUGGGACUUAUAUUGAAUUUUAAUGUGUCUCACAACCUGAAGGGAUUGGGAGGGAGGGUCAUUUCAUUUUUGGAUAUAGAACGAAUAGGUUCAGGAGAUGAGAGAAUUAAGGAUACGCACCAGAAAGACUAUCCAAUGCAUAAUGAUGUGCCAAAAAAUAGAACAUUUUUGUUACCCAACCAACCUUUAGGAGAAGCAAAUGCGACACGUAGACUAAUAGUAAAAUUAAAGAAGUAGCAUUUAAUGUAAAAAUAGCCAAUAGGAAAGCAAUAGUCAUGUUUCUAAUCCUCCAAUCUACCAACAAAAGAAUUAUACCAUUUGAUCCCUUUAUCAACCAAAAAAUUGUACACCUUAUGUACUACUUUGGGUAACCCUCUCAACAACUAAGAGAUCCAUUCGCUGAACAAGGCGACUAGUUGAAGUACGGAUCCUCCCAAUAUUGGGAGUAUCCGUACUUCAAUUGAGCUGAUGACAAAUCAUUUCACCAUUUUAGUUGGAACUUUAGGUGGUUCUCAAAAAAAGAUAGCGAAAAAAAUUAUUCCUAAAGUUUAGACUAAAAGGAAUGUAUAAACCAAUGCUUCCAUAUAUUCGAUCGUGGUUUACAAUUAUAUCUUCCAUACCUGUUUAUUUGGGAUCGUCUCCCAGGUAAAUAAAGAACAAGAGUAAAAGAAAAGGCAGUGAUUCAAAUCUAGAUUUAUCUGGUACCCUAUCUAAAAAUCACAAGAAGAAAAUAAAAAAGAAAAGUAACAAGUAACAAAACAUAUUGUAUCAGACUACUUGUCUUCUUGUAGUUGGAUCUCCAAGCUUUUGGAAUGCUCCGAAUUCCAGUUGAGCAUCUAAAUCUGGAUCAAUACCAGCAAAAACAUCUCGAAACAAGGUUCUAGCUCCAUGCCAAAUGGAUUUAGUUUUUGUCCCAUAAUCCCCCACUACUAUAUAUAUCGUGCAACGUGACAUUUGUCUGUAUAUAUUUUUUUAUUCAUUCGAUUUUUUUUUAAGCAUAACAUAAUAUAGCGUAUUUGUAUAAUUUAUAAUAUAAAAUAUUCUUCCUUUAAGCAUUCCUUAGCUCUGAUUUAUUGAAUUUCCUUUUAUCUAUUUCUUCAUCUUCAUCGAAAGAUAUAUCUUUCAAUGUUUAUGUUAUUUUAUAGGUUAAUAGGUUAUUUAUCAUUGUCAUAUUCCCCAAAGUUUAUGUUUUGGACUGUUUAAAUUGUUCUAGUUAACGUAGCUAUGAUCCUAUCAGUUUUGGCUCAUUAUGUAUGGAUUCGAAAGGAACAACGAGAUUUACAAAAGUAAAUGAGCACAUGGGGAUUUGGAAAAGUAUUUACGUCUAAAUAGAUAAAAUAUAGAUUUAAGAGCUUUAGGAAAAUUUGAUAUUUGUUGUUUGUAACAUACUUCGUCCAUCCCAAAGUUACCGAGCACCGGUCAACUCUGUACCUUCAAGGACCCACUGAAGAUUUGAUGUGGAGGCACUCUUGCCAAAGCACACGAGUUCCUCUCCAAUAAAAAGACCAAUCACAAAACGACACAUGUCAACAUCAGAAUAAAGCUCCUAGAUUCCCAGAUCAAUUGUGGACAGGACCCGAAAACUUUCCGCAUCUUUAAAAGGAGAUUGUUCUCUUGCAAUUAAUUUCUAAUGUCUUUAUUGUACUUAAACUCGUCAUUAGAACUCACUAAUGAUGAUUAUGCUUAAACCUAUGUAUUGUGUAAACUCUUCACUAUUAAUAAGAACUCAUAUACCCUCAUGGACGUAACCUAUCUUAGGUUGAACCACAUACAUCUUGUGUUUGCUUCCCUACCUCUAUCUUUUUACAUAUUAUCCUCACCAGGUGACCAGACCAACCUUGCGAAGGUCACAACCUUGUCACUUAACGUUGUUCCAAAGUCUAACUGAUUUUGCGUAUCAACAUUUGACACCGUUUGUGGGAACGACACUAAUUCCUACUCUCACCAGCUUUGUCAGACUGGUUUCUCUUUGAUAAGGCAUCGCUCUCCAACAUGGGGAGUGAAGGAAAACACAGCAUGCAGAAAAACACCCCUUGCAUGCCUAGUGUGAGGCCGCGAAUGAGGGAAAGGAACAAGCCUGUUCUUCAAACUAAAGUCCAAGAGGUUAGAACUCAAAAUAAAAUAGAAAAAAUGGCGAUACGGAAUGAUAUCCUCCAACAGCAGUAUGUGAAGCUCUUCGAGAUGUUUUACGAGGCUAUACAGACUCAGUCUCAAGAGUCAUUGCCCUCUUGACAGCGGAUCAACACAUAGGUACCUACGCGAAGUUUCACAUGUCUUCAACACGGGGAUUCUUAAUAAGGACUGGCCUUCUACCCAAGAUAUUGAUCAACACGAGACUUCUCUUAACCCAGCUGCUUCAAAUUGAAACAAGAUAAGUGGAAGAGGACAUCUCCUUGCAAAGGAUUGGAAUGAUCAAAACCUGGUUAUCGCGACUGUCAAGACCUCUUGAGGCAUCGUCGAGAAAAACCUAUCCAUAUAGACUCAAGGAUCAUUGACCCAAAGGUCAUCGAAGGAAUCAGUCCGUUACCAUAACCAAGGUCAACUACUAACCUAAGGAAGAAACGACAAGACUUAGAUGGACAAGAAGGUGUUUGAGUCUCGAGGAACUUCCAACCGGAAUUUCCUUGAAGCAAGUAUGGUAAUCCAAAAAAAAGUCACAUACUCUUGACUAAACUUCUCCACUUCCAAGAAAUGAUGGAAACUUACGAAUGAGGGUUCCAAUAGUCCCUGACUCCAUUCAAGACCCCAUUAUCCUGCAGUUUUUUGAGGAAGUGAACAGACUAAAGGCCAAACGCCAUGCCAAGGUACCUGACUGGAAUUAGCCGAAGCCAGGCCCUCUGACAAGAAGGAUCUUUGGCACCCCUCUACAAGGAGAAACAAAAUAGACGAUUGGUUUACUAUCAUAAAUUUUGGGGGGGGGGGGGGGGGGAAGAUCCAAUUGAGCAUAUCCAUCUCUUUGAAUCCACCAUGGUAUACCGAGGCAUAGUAAUGAAGAACGAUGUCUCAUUUUUCCCUUCAUUCUAUCUGUGGGAGCUCUCAAUUAGUAUUGUUGUCUUCAACCUGAUACAAUAGAUUAUUUCACCAAGCUUAAGAGACUUUUUGUGGUGCAACGCAUCUUCUAGGCUGAUUGCUUACACUCCGCUAAACAUUUAUACACCAUUCGUCAGAAGUCAAACUAGUCAUUAUGUGAAUAUGCCCGUAGCUUCAGCCACAAGUAUUCUCUUGCGUUGUGGUAGAUUAUAAAACAACAAUAAGUGUCAACAUACACUUUUUCCAUUCGACAUGUGUUACAAUGUGCCUCGACAACUCGUCAUUAUUCUCACCCACUUGGUUAUGAAGGAACUCAUAUUCGUAUCACUAACCAAGUGAUAAUUUUUUCCUUUGGCAACUUACCACCCUUUCCACCAACUAGGUAAUGAAAGAACUCACCUUUGUCCACUAACUAGGUGAUGGAAAGUACAACCAGUACUCCACUCUUUUCACUAACCGGGUAAUAAAGGAACUCACCUUGUAUCACCUUGCAGUAUGAAGCGUUAUUAAGAUCUCCUUCAACUGUGCCAGAAUGUCAAACAUUGUAGUAUAUACAAGGAGACCGAAGACUCUCAUCAACUAUAAAAGGAGAUCGUUCUCGUACAAUUAAUUCCUAAUAUCAUUAUUGUGCUUAAACUCGUCAUUAGGACUCACUAAUGAUGAUUAUGCUUAAACUUAUGUCUUGUGUAAAAUCUUCAUUAUUAAUGAAGACUCUUCUACCCUCGUGGACGUAACCCAAUUCAAGGUGAACCACAUACAUCUUGUGUUGCUUUCCUACCUCUAUCUAUUUAAUUAUGAUCCUCAACAGGUGACCGGAGCAACCUUGUGAAGGUUACAAACUUGGCACUUUACGUUGUUCGAAUGUCUCACUGAUUUUGUGCAUCAACAUUUGUAAAUAAUUUGCUACAAGCAAUUGAGCCUGCGCGAUUUGUUUUAAAACUGUGUUAAACAGGUGGAAUAUAUUAAAAUCCAUUAGAAUCCUUCUGCUUAACAAAGAAUAAAAAAAAUAGAUGUUUGUAGUAUAUAGCAAAAGUUUUAAAACUCAUUAAUUCUUCUUUCUACGUAAAUUUGACAAAUACGUACAAUCCAAUCUUCAACCAAUUCAAGCGUAUACUUUUUCUUUUGUUGUAUCAAAUUUGUCAUGUCACCCAAGGUCAAAUGGAAAGCCAGCUAACUGAAAACAUUUGUGUUAAGUUGUGCAAAAAGUUGAGUACGCUUUAAUUGAAAACAUAACCACUAAUACAAUUAGGCAAGAAGGGGAAGGAGAUAAUCAUGAGGAGCUAGAAAUAUUUUGACUUCAACAAGAAGAUAUUGACAAGGUUUUACAUACGUACUAGCAAGCUCCAAGUUGUGGUAUCAACUCCAAAAACAAAAAUCGUACUUGGGCAACAUCCAAAAAAACAUGAGUAAAGAAUUUUUGAAGUCUUUUUUCUUCAAUGACUCGGGAAAUAUAAGACGGCUCCUUCGGUAAUCCUCAUCAAUAAGAGACUUGGGGGACUCCCAUUAUAUGCUAAUACACUUUAGUACUCAAACGUUUCAUGAGUACUCACCAAUUUGGGUUCUACAAGUCCCCAACCGAGAAACUUUCCUCACUCGUGAACUUGGGGGACCACUGUUUGUUCCAUACUUCACCACCCCCAAAACUACUUAGCACCAAUCAACUUCAUACUUUCAAGGACCCACUAAAGAGUUCAUGUGGAGGCACCCUGGGCGAAGCACACGAGUUUUUCUCCAAUCAAGAGACCAAUCACAACACGACACGUGUCAACCUAAAAAUAUAACUCCUAAAGUCCCACAUCAACCAGGGACGGGAGCCAAAGACCCUCAUCAACUAUACAAGGAGACCGUUCUUGUACAAUUAAUUCCUAAUGUCAUUAUUGUGAUUAAACUCGUCAUUAGAACUCACUAAUGAUGAUUAUGCUUAAACUUAUGUCUUGUGUAAAAUCUUCACUAUUAAUGAGGACUCCUCUACCCUCGUGGAUGUAGCCAAAGUUAAGUUGAACCACGUACAUCUUGUGUUGCUUCCCUACCUCUAUCUCUUUACAUAUUAUCCUUACUAGGUGAUGCAGCAAACUUGAGAUGGUUACAAACUUCACACUUUACGUCGUUCCAAAGUCUCAAUGAUUUUGUGCAUCAACUUUUGUAAAUAGUUUCUUACAAGCAAUUGAGCCCGCGCGAUGCCACGAGUUUUAAAACUAUGUUAAACAGGUGGAAUAUAUUAAAAUCUAUUAGCAUCCUUAUGUUCAACAAAGAAUAAAAAAAUAGACGUUUGUAAUAAAUAGCAAAAGUUUUGAAACUCUUUAGUAAUUCUAAGUAAAUUUGACAAAUACGUACAAUCCAAUCUUUGACCAAUUCAAGCGUAUACUUUUUUUUUGCUUCAAUCAAAUUUGUCAUGUCACCCAAGGUCAUAUGCAAAGUCAGCUAACUGAAAACAUUUGGGUUAAGUUGUGCAGAAAGUUGAGUACGCUUUAAUUGAAAAAAAAAUCACUAAUACAAUUAGGCAAGAAGGAGAAGGAGAUAAUCUUGAGGAGCUAGAAAUAUUUUGACUUCAACAAGAAGAUAUUGACAAGGUUUUACAUAUGUACCCGUAAGCUCCAAGUUGUGGUAUCAACUCCGAAAAAAAAAAAUGGUCCCGAAUAACAGUAUAGAAAUGUUUUAGUCCAUCUUAAACUUUUUUUUUUGUGGCCUUGCUUAUUAUUGUACUUAUUAACAAUUACUACUAUGUCGAGGCGAGUUUCUUUACAACAGGACCAAGAAAAAUAAUAACUUAUUACAAUGUGGUAUUUAUUCCUGAACCCCAACUGGGACCGAAACUGUUUAUGACUAUAAAUAAGUUAUUCCUUUAUAUAGAGAUGUUUUACUGUAGCAUUCACAUGUCUUAUUAUUGAAUUAUUGAAUCUCAAAGAAUACUUACAUUAUUGAAAGGAAAUACAAAUGCAAAAGGAAUUGAAAUACAAAUACAUAAAAAGGAAAAUUAUCCACUUAAAUGUGUUUAUAAUCAACAAUAAAUUUCUUUUAAUUUCUUCAAUUCUUCUUAAGCAAAUUUUUGAACCAAUGUGCUGAGAGUUUUGGGUGUCUUUUCAGCCCAUCAUUAUAAUCCACGUAGUUUUAAACCAAAUCGGACGGUGUAUCCAGAAUUCCAUUCAAAGUCGUCCAACAAUGUCCAUGGAAAGUAUCCCUUCACUUUCGCACCAUUUCUGCACACACACACAUACACCAAUGUUCAAAUGGAUUAGGUCAAUAUAAUGAUUAAAUAACAAUAACUUAAGAAGGCUAGGCAGUAUAUAACCUUAAUUAAUUUGUUAAUAACUACUUACUUGAUCGCCGCUUGAAGGUAACAUAGGUGACGGUAGUGGUAGUCAAUUCUACCGGUAUCAAAGAAGAGCCUCUUCAAUUGAUAGUUCUGGAUUAUUCAACUCUGAUACACCUACGUACAUAUAUUAUUGCACAAAAAAUUAAAAUUAAGUUUUUUCCUCUAAAAAUAUAAAAAAAACAUGCAGUUCCAGUUUAACGCCAUUAUAAAUAUGUGAAACUUUUGCAAUUAAUCAAGGCUUAAAAGUACGAAUUACAUACCAUUCUCAGUAAUAUAAAUGAGUGGAUCAUUAUAUUUUUCCUUUGUGUAGAGCACAAGAUCGUGAAUUCCUUUUGGAUAUACAUAUAACCAAUCUAAAGCAGUCUGCAACACCAUUUCAAGAUAAUACGUAAAUGUUGGGGAAAAAAGCUAAUCCUCCAAAUGCAAAUAGCUCAAAAUGAUAAAUUUGAUGUAUACCUGUGGACCAAUAAGUACUACUCCAUUAAGCUCAGCUGCCACAAUAUUUACAAACAUUAGAAUACAAUUGGUGUAAAUAUUAGAAUAUAAUUAAUGUAAUUAAGAGGUUAAACUAGGUCAAGAAGAAACGAGAACUGAAGCUAUUCAAAGUAAGUUUCCUUUGGCACUCACUUGUAAGAUCAGCUUGAGGAUCUGUUACGAAGCUUGCCUGUAGUGAAUUGUUCUUAGGUGUACUAGUUGCGUAUCUAGCAGUAUAAUAAUUUAUUCCAAGAAAAUCAAAUGAUGAUCCGUUUAGCAACUUGGAUUGUUCUUUUGUGAAUUUUGGCAAUCUUUUUCCAACAAUUGAUCGCAUGCUGUGUGGAUAGUCACCACUUGUUAAAGGGUCCAAAAACCUACAAAACAAGAAAAUUCCAAAUAUUAGCCUAAUUAUAGCAUUAUAGAUAAAUAGUACUGCUAGCUAGUAGUAGUAAUGUAGUAUCAAAGUAUAAGUCAUAAGUAUACAUGAUGUAAUUGGGUUUAUGUAUAAUUUAAUAAGACACUUGCCAUCCAAACAUAAAAUCCAAAGAUCGUAAGGCAGCAUCUUUAUCUUGCUUUGACUCCGAAGCAGGCUCAAACCAGUAUGACACCAAUGUUAUCCCUAUCAAGCCUUUCUGAGAUGCCUACACAAAAAUAUGAAUUUUGGUUGAAUAAAUAGGAGUUAUAGAAAAAGAUACAACCUUUAGAUUAUCUUACUACUGAGAGUAUUCCCUCUUGUAUUACAACUCAAUAAUAAAGAUUCAUAUAGAAUUCUCGAUUAGGAGCCAAUAAUCUAACCCCAAAAAAAAAAUAAAAAAAAAUAAAAAAACAGUUAUUGAACCUGAUAUCUAUUCUUGUACAAUUCUACAGCUGCUCCAUGAGCAAGAAGAAUGUGGUGUGUCACCAAGUAUGGUUCAAUGGCUGAAUCUCCACCGGUGCAGUUUAGGUUUUGCCAAGAAGAGCAGCGUCCCGGUGCUAGAGUCCCAACAGCAUAACCCAUGCUACUAAAAGUAUAUGGCUCAUUUACCGUGAACCAGUGCUUGACACGAUCACCAAAUUCCUUAUAACAAAGUUCUGCAUAGUCUUUAAAAUGAUCGCUGCAGAUACAAAUUUAUGUUAAGUAUAUCAGUACGUAUUUUAUCAAAUUAUCAACGAGAAAAUAAAUUUUGUUCACUUACACAAUACGAGGGCUUAAGAAACCACCAUAUUCAUCUUCUAAAGCUUGGGGAACAUCCCAAUGAAAGAGUGUUACAAACGGCUUUAAACCUAUAAUACAUGAUCAGUAAAAUCAAAUUAAAAGUCUGAUUGAAUGAUGUUCUAAAAAUUCAUGUAAUAAUUGUUUAAGGUAGGAUAAUUAACCAUUGCGUAGGAGUUCAUUGAUGAGAUUGUUGUAAUAAUCAAUUCCUUUCCUGUUAACGCCACCACUUAACGUUCCAUCUAAUUAGAACAAAAAUAACAAGAAAAAAAAGGGUUACCCAGUAGAUAACUCGAUCACAUUACUUUAGUUUAAAUAGUAUAUAAAAGAGAAUAAUUUUUCUUGUAGGAAAAAUAAUUCUUAUGCACAAUAUUGUCAUUGGUCCCAACCAAAAAUGAGGACGUCGAGCAACUUACUUGGUAAUAAUCUGGACCAUGAAAUAGAUAAUCUGUAAGCAUCCAAAUUCAUAUCCUUCAUAAUCCCCACAUCUUCCUAGAAUGACAAAAGUUUAAAAUUAAAUAUUGAGGAUCUCAUUAUAUAUUGUUCUUUUUUUUUUUUUUUUUUUGUAAAGGCUCCAAUUUAUAAUGUUAACAUGUGCCCUUCAAGUAUAAAGGGUCGAGAGACAAAGUUAUGAGGUUUUAGACCUUAUAGCGGUGAUAUUGAUCUAUAGCGACAUCUCCGUUACUGCCAUCAUCGAUUUUUUCUGCAAUUAUUAAAAAACAUAAUGGUGAAAUCCAUAUCAUGUGCAAAGUACUUUAUAUGCGUGCGCACUGAUGAAGUAUAUACAUAUAUUGUACAUAUCACAUGACCACGUACUGUUGGUCUCCCAACAAAGUGCAUGGCUGUUAGAGAGGUUGGAGUUUACUUGUCCUCACGAAGAAAAGAAUGAGGUGCUAUUUCUACUCCUUUGAAAUGAAGUAGCAAAAGUUUUCAUAUUACCAAUUGAUUAAAUCACAGACCUGGAUGUUUGUGGGUGAAGGUAUCCCAUAUGCUUGGUCCUCUUCCAUCUUCUUUUACUGCACCUUCAUACUGAAAUACACACACAUGCAUAUACGUAAGAGUACUACUACACACGCAAGGAAGAUGACAACAUUAUAAUUCAUGCAUGGAUGCUAGCUGCAUGUAUAAAAUACACCAAAAAUGUGGUAAAUAAAGACAGAAGAUAUAUAUAUACUGACCUGGUAAGAUGCAGAACCUGUGCCAAAUAUGAACCCUGGUUCAAAACUGCUGCGAUUGAGAAAUUCGCAAUGAACAGGUGGAUCUGUAUUAGUUGCUUUGCCAUUUGUCAAUGCAAAGCCAAUGAGUAGCAGCACACCAAAGAGCAAAGAUCGUGAAUAUUUCAUUGCCAUAACUUGGGAGUUUUGAUAUCGAUCGAGAUAAUUAAGUUAUCUCCUCCGGGAAUAUUGCAUGGGGUUUAUAUAGAGAAAGGGAGGAAAGGGAUAUGGUGUCUACGUACUAGCUCAUGAGAAUAAUAAAGGGUUAAAAUUUGUAAACAAAAUUGGCUUUGAAAGUCCUAGUUUAAAGACCAAGUCAAGGUAUAUUUCAAAAAAAAACAAAAGACCAAGUCAUGGUGUGUAGUUUAAAAGAAAGCACGUUUCAUGUACCCAAAAGUUGCGUAUUACGUACGUUAAAAAGAAUGGAUGAUCCUUGCGUUCCACCUAUGAGGAAUGAACAUAUUCUACAAAUUUUAUAUUGUGAUCGUUUCAGUUUCUUAAUCUUUAUUUCAAAAUCAUCAAAACAAAAACAAUUAUUUGAAUCUGAGAUCGUUUAGUCAUUUAAAUAUAUGAACCCAAUUGACAGUGUCGACACUAAGUAAAAGAUUUUAUAACGAACUAUUCAUUUUUAUUGAUACAUUUGGAUGACUAAAACAGUCUUCAAUUUGGAAUAGUUUUUUGUAUAUAUGAUAUUCAAAUUAAGAUUAAGAAAUUAAUAACUGAUACUACAAAAAUACACUUUAUUUAUUAAAAAAAAAUAUUCCUUGAGUUGAAAAGUAAGAUAAUGUACACAACAGUUCGAUCGAUCUCAUCUUAAUUUGAAAUGAUCAAUCCUUGAGUUACCCUUGAGUUUUCCAGCAAAAGAAAAUGUUUUUCUGUAUUCGGAAACAAAGAGUCAUUUAUCUGCAUGUUUAUAUUAUGUCUGUCCAACUGUUGAAGGGCAUAACUUUUGAAGUUGAAUAUGGACGAUUAGCUACAGAGACUUAUUCAAACUAUAGAAAACUAUUUGACACCAAACAAAAAAGUAGAAAUUUAUGACCAGAAUUCUUUACGUAAGUACAUAAUCGAUAAAGAUGAAGAAUUUAAUCUUGAUCUUUUACUUCUUGUUAGAGUUUUAAUGUUGAAUCCGUGAACCCAGUGGUUUUGUGAAAUUGUUUUUCCACGCAAAUUAAGAAGGCAUCGAAAUAGCUAGGUUCUCAAAUUGGCUAUUUCGCUCCUAAAGAUUGUGAAAGGAUACCAUUGGGGUGGCUUCUUCUUGGUAGUACAAGAAAUUGAUUAGCUGUUUCAAGAAAACAGGUUUUUUAUUAGCUUACAUCUAUUUAUUUUGAUUUAAUAUUUUUUUACAAUUCAAAAACACAAAAAUUUUGACCCCCCCUCUAAUUUUUCUAAUUUUUUUCUUUAUUUGAAUUUUUGGGACUUAUAUUGAAUUUUAAUGUGUAUCACAACCUGAAGGGAUUGGGAGGGAGGGUCAUUUCAUUUUUGGAUAUAGAACGAAUAGGUUCAGGAGAUGAGAGAAUUAAGGAUACGCACCAGAAAGACUAAUCCAAUGCAUAAUGAUGUGCCGAAAAAUAGAACAUUUUUGUUACCCCGACCAACCCUUAGGAGAAGCAAAUGCGACACGUAGACUAAUCAGUAAAAUUAAAGAAGUAGCAUUUAAUGCAAAAAUAGCCAAUAGGAAAGCAAUAGUCAUGUUUCUAAUCCUCCAAUCUACCAACAAAAGAAUUAUACCAUUUGAUCCCUUUAUCAACCAAAAAAUUGUACGCCUUAUAUACUGCUUUUGGGUAACCCUUCUCAACAACUAAGAGAUCCAUUCGCUGAACAAGGGGACUAGUUGAAGUACGGAUCCUCCCAAUAUUGGGAGGAUCCGUACUUCAAUUGAGCUAAUGACAAAUCAUUUCACCAUUUUAGUUGGAACUUUAGGCGGUUCUCGAAAAAAGAUAGCGAAAAAAAAUUAUUCCUAAGAGUUUGAGACUAAAAGGAAUGUAUAAACCAAUGCUUCCAUAGAUUCGAUCGUGGUUUACAAUUAUAGCUUCCAUACCUGUUUAUUUGGGAUCGUCUCCCGGAUAAAUAAAGAACAAGAGUCAAAGAAAAGGCAGUGAUUCAAAUCUAGAUUUAUCUGGUACCCCCCAUCUAAAAAUCACAAAAAGAAAAUAAAAAAGAAAAGUAACAAGUAACAAAACAUAUUGUAUCAGACUACUUGUCUUCUUGUAGUUGGAUCUCCAAGCUUUUGGAAUGCUCCGAAUUCCAGUUGAGCAUCUAAAUCUGGAUCAAUACCAGCAAAAAACAUCUCGAAACAAGGUUCUAGCUCCAUGCCAAAUGGAUUUAUUUUUUGUCCCAUAAUCCCCCACUACUAUAUAUAUCGUGCAACGUGACAUCUGUCUGUAUGUUUUUUUUAUUCAUUCGAUUUUUUUUUAAGCAUAACAUAAUAUAGCGUAUUUGUAUAAUUUAUAAUAUAAAAUAUUCUUCCUUUAAGCAUUCC
rnacentral:lncRNA from 1 species